rnacentral:lncRNA from 1 species
CACACCAUCCCCUGGUGGGCUGGUGGCCAGCCCAAGUGGGCCUGGUUCAGACGAAGGAGGAGAAAGGAAAGGAGAGGUGGGGCAAACCGAAAUAGGAAGGGACUCCUCCUCCCAAUCGGAUUGGAGGGUGACUCCUCUUCCUUCCAUGGCGCGCCAGCCAACCCUAGGGAUUUUUCCCUAGGGCGCCACCCCUCCCUCUCUCCUAUAUAUAGUGGAGGUGAGAGAAGCUUUUGGCACCCAAGCCAUAGUACAACCCUCUCUCCCUCCACCACUUCGUGACACCCCGUAGCUAGUUCGGUACGGCACGGCGAAGCCCUGCCAGAGUAACUCCACCACCAUCACCGCCACGUCGUUGUGCUGCUGGAGAGUUCAGCUACCUCUUUGCCUCUCUUGCUGGAUCCACAAGGCAGAGAUCGUCAUCGAGAUGUACGUGUGCUGAAUACAGAGGUGUCGUCCGUUCGGUACUAGAUCGGGACGGACUUCGUGGGACGCUUGCGAUUCGGAUUGCGAAGACGUUCGACUACAUCAACCGCAUUUAUUAACGCUUCCCGCUUAGCGAUCUACAAGGGUAUGUGGAUCCGAUCUCCCCUCUCGUAGAUUAUCAUCACCAUGAUAGGUUUUGCGUGUGCAUACGAAAUUUUUUGUUUCCCAUGCGACGUUCCCCAUCAGUGGUAUAAAAGCUAGGUUCAUGCGUAGAUGAUAUCUUGAGUAGAACACAAAAGAGUUUGUGGGUGUUAAUGUUCAAUUUUCUGCCCUCCUUAGUCUUUUCUUGAUUUAGCGGUAUUGUUGGAUUGAAGCGGCCCGGACCAACAUUCCUCAUGCGCGUACGAGAGACCGGUUUCAUCGACUAACAUUCAACUUGUUGCAUAAAAAUGACUGGCGGGUGUUUGUUUCUUCAACUUUAGUUGAAUCGGAUUUGACCGAGGUGGUCCUUGGAGAAGGUUAAAUAGCAAUUUGCACACCAUCGUUGUGGCUUUGCAUAAGUAAGAUGCGAUCAUACUAGAUACCCAUAGCAGUCAUGUAAAUUUUGCAACAACAAAUUAGAGGACGUCUAACUUAUUUUUGCAGGGUAUGCAUGUGAUGUGAUAUGUCCAAUGACAUGACAUGAUAUAUUGGAUGUAUGAGAUGAUCAUGUUGUAAUAAUUAAAUAUCGACUUGCACAUCGAUGCUACGGCAACCGACACGAGCCAUAGGGUUGUAUUUAAUUAUUUUGUGCUUGGUGAUGCUUUUCUUUAUCGCUAGUAGUAGCUUUAGUAGUAACAUCAUAGUUAGCGCGACAACCUCGAUGGAAGCAUGAUUAUGGAGAUGAUGGUGUGGCGACGGUGACGAUGGAGGUCAUGCCGGUGCUUUGGUGAUGGAGAUCAAGAAGCACAAGUUCAUGGCCAUAUCAUGUCACUUAUGAUUUGCAUGUGAUGUUAAUCCUUCUAUGCACCUUAUUUUGCUUAGGACGACGGUAGCAUUAUAAGGUGAUCCUUCACUAAAAUUUCAAGAUAAAAUUGUUUUCUCCCCGACUGUGCACCGUUGCGAUAGUUCGUCGUUUCGAGACACAAAGUGAUGAUCGGGUGUGAUAGACUCUACGUUCACAUACAACGGGUGCAAAACAGUUGUACCACGCGGAACACUCGGGAUAAACUUGAGGAGCCUAGCAUGUACAGACAUGGCCUCGGAACACAAGAGACCGAAAGGCCGAACAUGAAUCAUAUAGUUGAUAUGAUCAACAUGGAGAUGUUCACCAUUGAAACUAAACUCAACUCACGUGAUGAUCGGACUUGAGUUAGUGAAUUUGGAUAAUGCGACACUCGAAUGACUAGAGGGAUGUCAAUUUGAGUGGGAGUUUAUUAGUAAUAUGAUUAGCUAAACUCAAUUAUCUUAAACAUAGUCUAAGUAAUCUUUGCAAAAAUUUAUGUUGUAGAUCAAUGGCUCGCGCAGUAGAAACCCUUAAUUUUAAUGCGUUCCUAGAGGAAGCUAAGCUGAAAGAUGAUGGAAGAAACACUGUUGACUAUGCCCGUAAUCUGAGGCUUAUCCUCACGGCUGCCCAAAAGCAAUAUGUCAUUGAUGCAGCACUAGGUGAUGCUCAAAGAGAGAUAAAUUGCCAUCCAGGUACUGGCUAUGGACCCGUAGGUCUGUGGUGAUCCACUUACAUAUCAUCAUGAGGGCAUCAAGGUUGAUGAAGAAGCCCUCGGUGAUCGAUCCGACCUCUGGCAGAGUGCCGAGACAGAGCUCUAGAUGGACCCCCGUCAGAACAGAGACUUGUGGCAGCGUAAAAAGUGUUUCCGGACCUCCGUCGAUGUUUUAGGAUAGAUGAGAAUUUAUAGACUAGAGAACAGAGUCGGGAGAGCCGCGAGGGGGCCACAAGCCAUUAGGGCGCCCCCUGACCGCGCCCUGUUGGCUUGUGGGGCCCUCGUGCACCCUCGUGCCUCCUUUCGAUGCUCCACGGUCUUGUUUUAGUCCAGAAAAAAAUCACAAAAAGUUUUAGGUCAAUUGCACUUCACUUGGUACUAAACCGUAAAAAGUGGAAAACACGCAGAAAACAACAACUAGCACUUGGCACUGGGUCAAUAGGUUAGUGCUCAAAGAUAAUAUAAAUUGGUAGAUAAUUAGUUCAUAAAAAAUGUUCUAAAAUGAUAACAUAAUAGCAUGGAACAAUCAAACAUUAUAGAUACGCUGGAGACAUAUCAUUGUACCGCUCGCUAGGGUUUUCUGCAUGGUACUUGUGUGCACUGAUUGUACCGGUGCACGAAGAGGUUGUACUGCUGUAGUGUAAAAACCGUUGUAACAGUUGAAUUUGGGGGCACUAUAAAAGGGGAUGGUUCUUCCACCGACCUUCUUACCUCUUACCUCUCUCUUUCUCUCUCUUUCCUUCAUUAAUGCCCUCCAAGCUUUCUUGCUCGAUCUCUCUUCCACUCAUUAAUGCUAGCAUCAUCGUACAUUUGGAGUCGACACACUUUGCUAGAGGCCGCUACCGGCUAGCCGAGCUGGAUGUGAUCUGACUUGCAACCAAGUGAACGAGAACCUAAGGGGUCGUGCUCUUAAGAGAAGGAUUCUACGAGGUCAUAUACGAGGACACUGGUCGGAUGUGAUCUGAGCUGGACUUAGAUCAUGACCAAGUAGACUUUAGGCUUUAGGAUCCAUGUGAGGCCCAAAAUUGAGACCGCGACGGAUGCCUAUAUAUAAUGGGGGUACCACACACAUAUUCGGUCGAUUGCUUCAGCAUCGUCAUUAGGGCGUUGCAUGUGUUAGAACCACCCACCUCCACUCGCCGCCGGUUGUGUGAUCGGACCUAGCAGUCCGCCACAUGACGUUCCUCCUGCACGUGCGAAUACCGUUAGAGGUGGUGCAGUUGCGCAGCUCCAACGAAGUUGUCCACGGGAUUCAGCGGACGACUGUUUGAGAGACCGGACGAGGAGGGGGCAACUCCUGGGACGCGCUAGCACCACUAUUCGUCCACUACAUUGCGCUCUAGUGGUAACAAUCUGUGAUUCCUCUCCUUAGCAUGUUCCCGGUUAUACAGUGCAUAGGAAUUUUUUUUAUAUUCCAGCCGAUGCACCUAGCGUAGCCCAACACUAUCCCUCCGUCCCUCCCUUCCUUCCUCUCUCUCUCUCUCUCCCUCUCUCUCUCUCAAACACUUAAUACAUGCAUACUUACAUUAGUUUGAUCAUGUUCAUGUGAUUUAAGGUUAAUUGAAUUUGUGGCACUAUCAUAUGAACAAUGAUGGUGCCAAAUCCAUGGCCUAAAUAAGUUGCAUCCAAAUGUACACGGAAAAUAGUUAGAUAAAAAGUAUGAACACAUCGUAGAACAUAUUACAUCGAGAAUCGAUUAUGGUUCUAUACAUAAAAGAACAAAAAUCUCGUGGUGCAAACUAAACAUACGUUUAUAUUAAUUAAAUGUAUGCACAUUUCGUUCCUGCAAAAGAAAUUUGUCCUAUUCGGAAGAAAAGAAAACAAGUUUUGAAAAAUCAUGUAGCAAUUACUAGAAAGAUUACCAGAGUUGAGAUACACAACUAUGGACGUAGCCAUUUGAGAUUAUCCUGUCACUGUCCACGGACCCGCCCGCAGAUGUAUAUAUGUAGUGCUCCAUUUGGCAAUUGGAGUUGCAGAUGCUCUAACUUCCUUCUUUUUUGUGAACCAUGUGAUGAACAAGCUCUCUCGAAACAGGCUUUCGCCCCGCUUUAUAGAUAAAGCACAACGGCCAGAAUCCAACCCACAUGUUCGAACACAAAAAAUAAAAAAGAGAGUCAGGUGGGGCAACAACACAGUCCAGCCCAAAAUAAAGAGAAGAAACAAAAAAUUCCCACACAGGGGCAAGCUAGGCAGCAAGCAAGGGAGAGGAGAGCCGUCGGGCGGCCGCCAUCAACGCGUCCAGGUAGAGCUGAAGUCGGCCUCGAUCCCGGGUCCUAACGAGCGGAUGCCAAUGCUGCAAGAAGGCAAGGAAUUUGAAGAACGAGUCAGAAGCACGCCGCGGAAACACCUUCUCAAUCAUCAUUUUAUUGUGAGUAGUCUAGAGGGUCCACAUCAUAGCCGCGAAGACCAACCAAAACAGUCGGCGUUUAUGACCGACCUGGGUGGCCCGCACCUGUAGAAAAUCUGCAAGGUCAGAGGCCUCCCACUCUGGUCCCAGAGCCUCGCGUACAAAGCAUCAUAGUGCAUGUGCCGCAACGCAUGAGAACAGAAUGUGAGAGCCAUUCUCCGGGACAUGGCACAGGGGACAUAUGCCGUUACCCGGACCAUGGCGUUUCAGCACCUCGGUCCCUGAAGGUAAACGGUCUCGGAGAAGCUGCCAAACAAAAAUCUUGAUCUUCAAGGGCAGCGGGGCCUUCUAGAGUGGGGAUAACCACGGGAGGACCAGCAUUCUGCACAGGGCCAGGUAUGCCGAACUAACAGAGAAUUCUCCCGAGGGAGAGAGGCUCCAAGAGAUACUAUCACUGACCGCCGAGGUCGAGAGGGGAAUCACUGCCAAGAGUAACUCCCAGUCCAGGACCUCAACAGGGCCAAGGGGUCGGCAGAAUGCAACAUGCCAUCCGUCUUCCAGAGCAGCAGCAGAAACCAGGACAGCAGGGUCGGCGCAGAUAGCAAAGAGCCUCGGGAAACGGAAUCGUAAAAGCUCUCCUUCCAACCAGGGAUCUAACCAAAACUGGGUCCCAGAUCCAUCGCCCACCGAGAUCCCCAAACUCAACCUAAUCUCGUGCUUAAUGCUCUGGAUAGACUUCCAGAACUGCGAACCAUUCGCGAGAGAGCAUGCCAAGAGUGGUCUGCCUCGAAGGUAUUUGGCCUUAAUCAAUUGAAGCCACAGACCCCCAUCUCCGUGCAGAAUCCGCCAAACCCAACGGAGCAUCAGGGCCACGUUCAUGAGGCGGGACGCAGGAAUGCCUAGGCCCCCUCAGUCUUUUGGCAAGCAGAUGUCUGCCCAUUUCACCAUGUGAUACUUGGGCCUACCAUUCCCUGCCUGCCAAAAGAAUCUAGCCAGUUCCUUGUCAAAGGCGUUGUGCACACCUUCGGGCAGGAUAUACAACCCCAUCAUAUACAUGGGGAGGCUAGCGAGGUUAGAGCUAAUGAGGAUGGAUUUGCUGCCUUUAGAAGUGAACCUGCCGCACCAGGGUUCCACACGGGAUGCUACUCAUCCCACAAGCGGAUCGAACCCGCUAACCAGAAUCCUGGACUCCGCCAGGGGCAUUCCCAAGUACGAGAUAGGGAAAGAAGCCAGCUUGAAGUUAAGGUUGUCUGAAUCCUGUGAUGCUCAGCCUCAGAGUAGCCGAGGACCACCACCUCACUCUUAUCAAAGUUAAUCUUAAGUCCAGACAUUUCCUCGAAGCAGAGCAAAAGGAACUUAAGAUUGGCAAUGUCCGAGUCCGAGCCUGAGACCAUGAUCAUGGUGUCGUCUGCAUAUUGGAGGUGUGACACCCCACCCCCCGGGAUGAGGUGACCAACCACCCCCUGGAUAUGCCCGGCUAAUCUCGCCUUAUCCAGGAUGCCGGCAAGGGUGUCCACGGCGAGAUUAAACAGCAGGGGGGAGAUAGGGUCCCCUUGCUUUACCCCCCUGGAAGCCCAAAAAAAGGGGCCUAGUUCACCAUUGAUAUUGAUGGCGGUGCUACCAGAUCGAACCAGCUGCAUAAUCCAGGUGCACCACCUCUCGUCAAAUCCGCGCCGCUGCAACACUAACCUCAAGAAGGACCAACCAAGACGGUCAUACGCCUUAUGGAAGUCCAAUUUGAGAAUGACCCCCUUCAAUCCCUUGGACGCCACCUCAUGGACAAUCUCGUGAAGGGCAAGAAUUCCGUCAUGAAUCUUCCUACCCUUCAGGAAUGCGGACUGAAGGGGGUGCGCAAUCCGUUCGGCCACAGGGGACAGACGAGUGGCGCAGACUUUAGCAAAAAUACGCGCCACCAUGUUAAUCACCGUAAUAGGCCUAAAUUGCCGAAUCUCUGCAGCCCCAAGUAGUUUGGGGAUGAGGGCAAUGACUCCAUAGUUAAUCCUGCCCAUGUCCAGAGUGCCUAUAUAGAAUUCAUGGAACAUGGGCAUGAUAACUGGGUGCACGGUCUCCCAGAAUUGCUGGAAAAAACCACCGGGAGGCCGUCUGGCCCCGGGGUCGAGCACACCUUCAUAGAAGCGAUUGUCUGGCCAACUUCCUCCGAGGAAAAUGGGAGAGUGAGUUCCGCAUUCUCCACGUCGGACACCUGAUCAGCUAGCGGCCAGAAGUCCUCACAGAGAGAGGAGCCUCCCCGCAGAUCGGCCGAGAAUAACUCCUUAUAGAAGGAGUAAAUAUGGGAUGAGAUGUCUUCCGGCUUUCCAGAACAGCAUCCCCAUCCCGGAGGAAAGGGAUGACACAUUUCCGCCUUCGGCCGUUGGCGAUGGCCUGAAAGUACGCGGUGUUUGCGUCCCCCUUGAGGAGCCAGUUCUGGCCACCUCGACGUUGCCAGAACAGUUCCUCGGAGCUGAAGAUGCCCAUGAGCUCAGCGUCGAGGGAUUAUGUCUGGAUCCAGUCAUCCGGGGACAGACCUGUACCGUCCGCCAAGUCAUCUAGGGUCUUAAUCUGGCCUAGCAAGGCCCCUUUACGGGCCCGGAGAUCAGCGCCCAAGUUAGCACCCCAGCCCUUCAUGGCCUGGCGCGCCAUCUUGGCACAGUGAUGCCAAAUGUCCACCGCACAAUAGACACGCGGCGGGGAGGCGGCAGCCCAAUGCCACUGGUCGCGGACCAACUCGCGGAAACCAGGCUGAUCCAACCAAAAAGUCUCAAAGCGAAAGCGCCGUGAUCUAGGGGGGAGCCUUCCCCCGACGAGAAGAGCAGGGGCGUAUGGUCUGAGCCAAUCUGCGUGAUGGCCCUAAGCCCGCACAGGAGGAACAUCACUUCCCACUGAGGCGACACAAAGACCCGGUCUAGAACACUCCGGACGGGGUCCGCCUGCUUGUUCCACCACGUGAACCUGGCCCCUACGCGAGCUAUCUCACGUAGCGCCAAGUCUGCAAUGCAGUCAUUAAAAAGACGCAUCUGGGGUCGAUCUACAUUCUGAGAGCUUUUAUCAGAAGCCCACCUAAUAAAUUAAAAAUCACCAGCCACCACUACAGGGGUGGUGCACCUAUCCACCUUAUUCUUUAGCUCGGCGAGGAAUUCUGCGGAGCGGGCAUGGUCUGCCGGACCAUAGACAAUAAUCACCUCCCAGCUGAGGUGGGUACGUCGGUCGGUGAUGGCCAUGCUCACAAUGAACUCCCCCCGGUCCAUGUCCUCCACCGAGAACGCCUCCUCCCGAACACCAAGCAGGAUUCCCCCAGAGUGGCCCGAUGCAGGGAGCCACUGCCAGGAGAACUGGUGGCGGGAGAGCCUCUGAAGCUCGAGCAUGCUAAAGUCCUACCGAAUCGUUUCUUGCAGCCCUACUAUGUCAAUCUCUUCUUGACGCAAAUACUCAACAAGUUGCCGCCGCCGGCCAGGGAGGCCGAAGCCCCUAAUGUUCCAACAUAGGAGCUUCAUUUAACAAUCUCGCCUGGAUUUCUAGGCCCCGCAAGCGGGGCCGAACUAGCCCGCCCGUCAACCUCGAGGCGGGGGAGCGCCUUAGAUGGACGACCCCGGUGUCCCCGAGAAGAGGGGACAUCGGAGGUCGCCGGGCCAGAGGAGGGAGCUCCGGGGCCUGACACUCGCUCCUCUCCACGUGUCUCAGUGGGGUUGAGACGGGUAGGCGGCCGCCCCCUGGGCUUCCGGACAGAGGGAAGCCCACCUAUGGGCGGCACAGGACCAACUGCAACCGCUGCCGGAGGUGCGCCACCAGCCCUGGUCUCUCUAUGACCAGGACCGGCGUGCACCGGGGGAGAGGGGGAGUUGGAGCGCGCGGCGAGACAGCGCGCUUCCGCUAACACCCCCUCAAGCCUCUCUUUCGCACAGAGGGCGGAGAUAUGCUCAAGAGGGGGACCUUUCUCCCCCCGAAACACAAUACUACUGUUCGCAGCCACAACAGCCAAAAGGGGCACCAAAUCGCUAGAGAGAACAGAAAACCAAGAACCAGAGCCAGAAGGGGGAGGAGAGGAGGCGUACCUGGGAACAGAUCGCGGGCCGCAGCACGCCGGGCCGCCAGCUCAGGCAUCGUCGGGACGCGGCCGUCCUGAAGGGUCCGGGACUGGCUGAUCCGAGCGCUCUGACGUGCCGACACGAUGGGGGAAGUGCCCUCCCGAGGCCGAGAGCGGGGCACAGGAGGGUACUCGGGCGCCCAACCAGGGUUGACGACCACCGGAGGGCGCGAAUCCGGGGACCCCAAGGUUGGGGAAGGGGGGAACUCGGAGAGCACGAGUAGCAAACCACCCCUGGCGAGCGCGGGGACGAAGCAGGGCAGACCUCCAUACCCACACUCACCUCCUCCUCAGCAGCGACCACCGGGAUAGGGGAAGCAGGGAGAGUGAUCUCCAUGCCUACCACCACCACCGGCGCCAAAGUACCCACCGUGGAGCCUCCUGCGAGCCCCGACUGGCCAACACCCGAGGGGGCGGGGGUGCGCCGACCGCCAGAUGGCUCGGGCGGAGCCCCGACCGUAUCAUCGUCCCCCUCAGAAGAAGGCCCCUCCUCCGACGAGCCCCCCUCCUUGUCAAGACCCCCGUCGGCAGGCUCCAGCCCAGGCGGGACCGGAUCUAGCUGAGCCGCUGAAGCCGGGGACUCGAGCUCGAAGGUCAGACGCCUGCCCUUGGACCCAAAGUAGAAGACCAAAGACAACCCGUCAAUCUCAGCAGGAGCCGGGCAGAGAAUCUCAAUGCGGGCAGGGCCAUCAUCCUCGAAAGAUGCCAGGUCGGCGGUGAUCAGUUUGCCCAUGGGUUUAGAGAUGGCUUUCAGAAUAUGACUGAGCUUGCCACCCCGCGGAGCCGCACUGCCCCCCCUUGGGAGGCCAUAGACGAGGACCCAAACCUUCUCCAAGGGAGGGACGGGGUCAGGCUCUGACAUGGCCGCCUGGACGCUGAUCGGGAGCUGGUUGAGGGGACACCGGAUAGGACCAUGCGAGCAGACCCGGAGUAGCUCGGCCGAGGGGAAGGGGACCGAGAAGACCAGGGGAGCCGUCUCAGUCACCUCCCAUGCGAACUCAGAGCCGCGAAAGUCGCCAAUGUAGGCCGCAAGCUCAUCCUGGAUGAGGUCAGACGAGAUCACCAGGCCAUCCGGGAUAGGCUGCUCGGGCUCCAAGGUGACCGUCGCUAGGUGAGGACGAGCAGCUACCUCCUCAAUCUCCGCAUCCACGAAGUAGAAGCUUCCCCGCUCAGUGCCAUACCCAAGAUAGGCAAGAAUCGUGGGGCACCGUGGGGGAGCCUCACACUCCGAGCGGUAGUGCCCGGUGCACCCGCAGUUGAUGCACAUCGUGUCCUCGCGGGAGCGCUGGCGGGUAGCACGAGCAGGGGGUCUAGAGCCUCAUGCUCAGGAGCCCCCUGAGCUCCUGGCGACGUCAGGCCGCCAGCACCGCCAACAGCCUUCUUCUUCUUCGACUUCAUCUUCUUCUUAACCGGGGUCGGGCGGGAAGCGGAGCAGCAGGCAGGGCAUCUGGGGACACGUGCCUAGAAGGCCCGUCGUCCCGGCACCAGUCCGCACCCGUCGCCCGAGAGGAGCGCCAGUCAGCCCGACGUCCAUCAUCACCGCGCCGCAUUGGCGGCCCGCCCCACCGCUCCCCCGGGCGGUGGUCCUGGCGAUCACGGGGCGGCCCGCCCCACCGCUCCCCAGGAAGGCGCCGCGGGGCGGUGAGCGAGGUCCCGAGCCGGGGGGUAGCGGGGCGCUGGCUCCUCACACGGCUGAGAUGCCGGAGUGGGGCGAGCAACCAACUCUGCACACAGAGUCGCUUCCCGGUCCAGGUCGGCCGCGCGGGCGGCCUCCAGGCGGCGACGGUCCCCCGGCGAACCCGGCAACGGCAGGCGGGGAUCCCUCUCCGGAUCACGAGGGGGAGGCGGACGGCGAAGGGAGGUCCCGGAGUAGUACUCCGGGGACUUCCCCGGCCGGGCAGACCCACCGCGCCCGGAACGGGACGAGGCAGCACCCCCUUCCAUGGCACGGUCACGGGCGGCGGGCAGCGCCUUCAACACCGCGCGAGCCUGGUCACGAGAGGUUGGCGUAGGGAGGAGCCCCUGCCCAGCCGGGAGAGGCCGCUUCGGUCGGGCCUGGCCGUUCCCGGCGUGGCGUGUCAUGAGCACGUCCCGGUAGGAGCGCCGUGGGGAGGGGAUGGGGAGCAGGUCCGGGCGCCGGGCAGCAGACGAGGGCGCGUCGCCGGCAGUGCAGGCGAGGACGGACGAGGUGGAGGGAGCUCUAUGGCUGACGGGACGGGGCGAGCGGGGCCUGGGGAACGGCCGGCGGGACGGGGCGAGCAGGGCCUGGGGAACGGCGGGGACGUCCGCGCCCGACGGGAGAGAGCGAGAGGAAAGGGAGCGGGAGCCCGACCGGAGAGAGCGAGAGAAACGGGAGCGGGACGGGGCGAGGCUGCGAGGUGGCGGUGGCGCACGCUCGGCAGGGUAAACCCUAUCCCCGAGCCGGUCCUCCCGACGCAGGCCUGGGCCGGGACGCGAGCAUGGGGGAGGCCCAGGUGGGCAUCGGCCCACUGCCGGUUAACCUUCUCCAGGACUCGGGAGACGCGGCGGGAGGCCCAGGCCAUCUCGCUAGCUGAGAUGGGCCCAGGCCCCGUUCGCAGCGGCCCAUGGGGAGAGCCGGCCCAUCCGUCCGCCAGCCGGCCAGGGGAGUUAGGGCAUGGGGGAGGGGACUGACGAGGCACUCGGGCACCUCCCGCUGCCGCCGGCACCGCCGCCGCCGCCACAGGAGGCAGGGCACCAGCGCCUGGUCGGGGCUCGCGGGGGCCCUCUCCGGCGACCGCCAUGGGGGACAACCCAGGCAGCAAACCGGCUCGGGCCAAGGAGGGGAGAGGGGGAACCACAGGGGGACAGUGCACCGGCGACCGCCGCCCGACCUCCUUCCCCGGCCGCCGGCGGGCAGGGCGCGCCGCAGCCAGGAACGAGCCGAGCAGCGGCGGUGCCAGGGACACCGGCAGCUCCAACCGGUCAUCACCAUCCGAAGAGGCCUCCAUGUCAUCGGGGUCGGGAUCGUCCGUCCAGUCCGCCCAACGUCGCGGCGACCGUUGGAAGCAGAGGGAGGGCGCCCCCGGCGGGGGAAGCGGGGGCAUCGCGCUCACGCAGCACGCCGGCCGACCGCCGUCAGCGGGCACCGCGCAGCUUCAGGUCUCGGCCCGCCGGAGAGGAGCCGCCCAUCGCUUCUUCUCUUCAGGAAUCUAGUCGCCGGCCCACAAGUGGGGUGAUGAACAAGCUAAUGCGAUUUAAAGUAAUCAUACCUCGUCCUAAGAAAUUAAAAGUGAAUUCAUACUGUGCAGCUAGAAAAAGAAUCAUAAAAGUAUACAAGCGCAUGUGAAAAGAAAAAGAUGAACAACUUGCCACUUCAUAUAGGUGAUCUAAUUAACUAAUUUAGGGUUCGAAUAACUUUGUUUCCCCACAAUCAUGACAAAGUGAACCUUUUGUUGAAAGCCGGAAUUCUGCAAUAAAGCUGCAAUGGUAGAUCUAUUUUUAUCAGGGAAUCUACCAUGCUGAGCUGCUGCACACAAGGCGUUCUCACUCACGAGUCGCAAAAAAGAGUUGGUGAGUUAUUAAAAAAGAAGACAAAGAGGACGAGUGAGUUGCACCAAAAUUAAAUACUUCCUUCAUUUCAAAAUAAAUGUCUCAAUUUUAUACUACCUCUAGUAUAAGAGCAUGGUUAAUAGUAUAGUCAACUGCUGGCUAUAAGCUAUCUUAUAGCCUAUCUUAUAGCUAGCUUGUACAAUAGUUAGCUAUAAAAGAGUACUACUUUUAUUCUAUAUGGCCCACCUUUCAUUUUCACAAAGCACCUACGAGCACGUGCUAGAGCUGGCUCUUUACGAAGAGCCCGCUUCCCUUCUCACUCCUAUUCUCUCUCAUCCAACUCAGCAAAAAUACAGUAUUUUAAUCCUUACAGCCUGCUGACUGUACCUUAUUGUACUUGCUCUAAAGUUGUACUCCCUCCGUUCCAAAAUAUAAGACCUUUUAGAGAUUUAUUAGAAGACUACAUACGAAGCAAAAUGAGUGAAUCUAUACUCUAAAAUAUGUCUAUGUACAUCCGUAUGUAGUUCAUAGUGCAAUCUUUAAAAUGUCUUAUAUUUAGGAACGGAGGGAGUAUUAAGUUUGAGGCGGUUAUAUUGAGACGGAGAGAGUACUAGAUAUACGUAAUCUGAAAUAGUGGAGUACCAAAAUUAUAGGCCUCUAUGAUUAGGAGGAUUUUCAUAAAACAUUUGGAAAGUUGUGAUACUUGAGAAUUUUUCCUUUAUCGCUUAUCUGAUUCGUAGAUUGACUCCUAUAGGAUUUUCUCCUAUGGAUUCCCUUUGACUGCACAUUUCAUGAAAAAAAACAUUAGUUUGCCAUGAUAAUUUUUCACCAGGAUGCACAAAAAAUGAACUAGUUCUGAAAGGUUUAUUGGCUUCAUUUGGAUUUACUUAGAAUCAGCUCAUAUUAGCAAUAAUUAAAGAUGGCCGAACGAUGGCGCCGUCUCCCUCCCGACCCGGGGCCGCAUGCAGCCCCUCUCCCUCUGCCCCCCUCCUCCUGUCGGUGCCCUCGGAUCUGGUCCGGGUGGUGUUGGCGGUGGCGGGAUCUCCAUUACCUGUGCGCGGACGUCCUUCCCGAGGCAGGGGAUCGACGGUGGUGCGGCUCGGCCUGCUGUGGUCCGACGACCUAGAGGUGGUGGCCGGCAGCCGACGUGGUGGUGGCGCUGCUCCUUGGCGGCGGGGUGGCCUAGCGGCACGGGGUGGCCGGCUGCACGACCCCGGGCCAGAUCAGGGCCCAUAAGGCCUCAUCUAGGUCCUAGGGGACUGGCUCUGGCAUGGACUUGCUGCCUCCUGUACAGGGAUGAGGAGGGGCGGGUUGAAAGGGGGGCCGCGAUGCCGACGGUGUGCUUUCUGCAGCGCGAUGGCAGGAGCUUUAUGGGUAUUUGUGGGGCCAUGAGCCUGGUUUGCUCCUGCCGAUGUGUCCGGUCGGUUACUGUCGUUGACGAUGGAAGUCGGACCCUCCCGCAGGCCGCCGGUGUUGCUUCCCCUAGUCCCGACUCUUCUUCUUCGAUGUGCAGGCCUCACUUCUCGGUGUCCUGGUGAGACAGUGUGGGUCGCUUCAAGAUUGUGCUUGCGCAGGGCGGUGGGUGGUAUGGUGGAGUCCUCCGGAACGCCCGUGGUGAUGCGUGGGGAUCGGGACGUACAAAUCCUUGUCGGCCUGUUCGACACCGACACGGUGACGCCUGAGGGUGUCGACGGACCUUCCUGGAGGGUGUCGGGUGCUACCCUUUCUUUGUCCUCGUUGUGUAUCGGGGGAAACCCUUGGCAGCAGCGCAGUCAUCGUCGUGUCCCUUCUUGGAGGUGUUGAUUGGUAUCGGCGCUUCGAAGGCUAGGAUCUUGGUGGAAGAUCUUCGAUGGGCGCAACGAUCGCGGGGCCUCUUCAUUUUUGUCGAUCCAUCAUUGUUGGCAUCUAUUCCUUUUGCAUUUUCUUUUUCCCUUCCUUUUGGACGUGAUUGUGAUGUCUCCGUCCCAGCACUUAUUGAUGGAUAUAUCGGGCAUUUGCUAUAUUAAUAUAGCGAGGCGAACGCGUGCUUCGAAGAAAGAUGGACGAACUUACCAACCAUAUUACUUGUGCUUAUUUAUUUUCUUCUGUUACAACGCACAAACAUAUUUGCUAUUUGAACUAAAUCACAUUGCCAAUUGCUCGUCUAUCAUGUCAAAUCAGAACCACGCAUCUAACCCUCCCAAGAUGUAGAUCGAUCGGUUUUACUCGGCAUUCAUUAUGGAUCGGAGGGAGUACUCCUAGAUCAUAUUCAAAAUUGCUCCACGCCACAAAUAAAACUGCACGGUACAUAUGGUAAAUCUGGGAAAGUGAUUUGCGUGGUAUGUGUGCCAUAAUCAACUGAAUUAUUGGACUAACCGCAUCAAGAUCGGAUCACAUCGAUCCUAUCCCCGUCGACGAGACUGUCCUCGAAUCAAAAUAUUUCUCCAAUGGACGCUCGUGUCCCACGCUCUGAAAGCGACGCCUUUUGUUUUGUCAGUUAAUUUUCACGUCAAGCUCACACCCACGCACGCACCGUGUAGGAUCCACGGCUCGACGCACCUCCCCUUCCCUCCCCUUCUCCCUAUUUAACGAGCUAGCCACCCCCACGCUUUUUGCACCUCAGCAAGCACCAACACACACACACACACAAGAAAUGGCGAUGGCUAGGACGACGACGCUCCUCCUCGUCGCCGCAGCUCUCCUCGCGGCCUCAUGCAGCGCAUGGGAGGUCAACAUCCGCAUGCCGACGUCGGCGGCGGACGUGGACGAGGCGGUGGUGGCGCCGCUGAUCCACGCGCUGCGGCCGCUGCUGGGCUCCGGCAAGCACGCCGGAGUGGCGUGCGACAGCUGGGUGCUGGGGGUGGAGGCGCACAACGUGCGGGACUGGAAGACGGUGCCCGCGAGCUGCGAGGGCUACGUCGGGCACUACAUGCUCGGCAGCCAUUUCCGCCGCGACUCCAAGGUCGUCAUCGACCAGGCCCUCGCCUACGUCGACUCCCUCAAGCUCGCCGGCAACGGCAAGGAGGUCUGGGUCUUCGACAUCGACGAGACCACCCUCUCCAACCUCCCCUACUACGCCAAGCACGGCUUCGGGUACGUACUUACACUCUUGUAUACAUUACAUAGACACUACUGAUUCUACGUGUAGUGCAUGCAUUAGACUUGCUAUUUACUGCAGGUACAUCCGACCGAGCAGGGACUUGCACUCAUCUUUUCACUAAGAUGAAGUGUAAAUAAUCUGACUAGAUAUAUAUUGUAAAAAAUCAACUCACUAGCUAGCUAAAAAAUACCAGCGAGAUCUGUAAUGAAUGAAAAUUGGAAAGCACAUAAGGAUAGAAAUAUUGGAAAUAAAAAGGAAUAUAAUCACUAAGUAGAAAAGUACUUUAAUCACAAGUGUUGGACACUUGGACAUCAUCAUUGCCAGUAGGACUCGGGCCAUAUGUCCCUAGUAUGAAUGGCCAACAAAACAAGAAGGAAACAUACUAUAUUUUGAGAUAGAGAUGUGAUGUUGAUGGGCAUGCGAAUGUGGUGGCCGGGUAGGACCGUAUAUGUUGUCCACUUGGCUACUUUAUGGAAAUGUUCUAAUUAUGUUAUGCUAGUCAACUCAUACUUUCUAAUUAUGUCAUACUUUUGUACACAUACACACUAUUGUAGUGCAUUAUACUCCCUCUCUAUCUAAAUACUUAGAGUUCGAAAGAACUAGGUGCAUUUCAGCAGGGGCUUGCACUGAUCUAUUCGUUCAGAUAAAAUAAAUAUCUUACUAGACCUCGUUCAAAUGAACUCACUAGCUAGAAAGCACUAGUAUCAUAAGAUUUCUAAUGAAUGAAAGUGGGAAAACAAAUGAGACUAGAAGUGGAAACAAGGAAUAUACUCACUAGCUAGAAAAGUAUUAAUUGGACGUGUUGGACACACUUAGGCAGCAUCAUUGCUGGUUACCUCAAAUCAGUCACAGAGACGGCCAUCAGGACCAUAAAUAUGUCCCGCCUAUGAAUGGUCAACAAAACAAGAAGGAAACAUAGUACUAUAGUUUGAGAAUAUGGUGGCCGGGGUAGGACCGUAUAUGUUCUCCACUUGGCUACUUUAUGGAAACGUUUAUUUCCAGCUGUCCUUAUCAGCCGAUACGUUCUAAUUAUGUUAUGCUAAUCGAUUGAUAUUUUCUGAUUAUGUUAUGCUAAACUUAGUUCAGAUGGAUAGUACUCCGAUACGUUUUCAUUAUUUUAUGCUAAUCUGAGUUUAGAUGGAUAUAAUUACUUAUUUUAGAAGAUGUGAGAGGUCAGAACAUCUUGUGCAUAGUUAGUAGUUACAUGCUACUCCCUCCGUUCCUAAAUACAAAUCUUUUAAAAGAUUUCACUAGUGGUCUACAUAUGAAGCAAAAUGAAUGAAUUUAUACUAUAAAAUAUGUUUAUAUACAUUCAUAUGUAUUACUCUAACCUCUAAAAAGAUUUAUAUUUAAGAAUGGAUGGAGUACAACUCUAUUCCUCUUUUCUCAAAUAGUUGAACACUAUUCCUCUUAGUUAAGAAGAUUCUCUUGAACCAAGAUGGAAACUAACUUGAAAUGUAGUAGAAGUCUAGGUGAUAUCUAGCCAACAUGAUGAUACCAGUUUAGUUCAAAACAUGAUUAACUAGCUCCGGAUAGCUUGCUUGUGUAUAUUUUGAAUGUGAUGAGGGAGCUAGUUCGUUGUGAUUUAAAAUAAACUGUACCUUGCCGUAAGAACUUUAAAGUGGAUCUACACUGGGCGGCUGGAAAAAGAUACAUAAAAGUAUAUAUAUGCGCAUCAAGGAAAAAAGAAAGAUCAAAAGCUUAUAACAGCAUGUCUAACUAAUCGAGCGGUUCAAAUAACUUUGUUUCAUCACAAUCAUGACAAAAUUAACCUUUUUUGUUGAAAGUCGGAACUCUGCAAUAAGGUUGCAAUGGUAGACCUAUUUUACCAAAGGAAUCAACAAAGCUGAGCUGCUGCGUACAAAGCUGUGCACGAUGAGAUUAAAUACUACAACUGCGUUUUCGGUCCAACAAAACAGUAGCGUGAUGAUGCCGGAGUGAACCUCGCUAUGUCACAUUCAUUGAUUUACUCCACUUGACCAACUUAAUUUACGACGUCCACAACUACGUACUGCUCAUGCACGUGCGUUACGUACAGAUACAGAGCAUCAUUGCGUUUACGUAUUGCCCAUCCCCUUGGCCAUUUGGCCACUUGGGCCAUAAUCUAGGUUGCCUAUGUUCCUUGGAUAUGCAUAAUUACUACUACUUCUUAGUAGCUGAUAUGAUUGAAUCUGCCAUUAAUCUAUCCUCGUAUACAUGUGCGUGCAGGGCUACACCGUUCAACGCGACCAGCUUCAACGCAUACGUGCUACAGGGGAGCGCGCCAGCCCUGCCGGAGACGAAGCGGCUGUACAACAAGCUGCGCUCGAUCGGCGUCAAGCCGGUGUUCCUCACCGGCCGGACUGAGGACCAGAGGGCCAUCACCGUCACCAACCUCCGCCGCCAGGGGAUCUCUGGGUGGAUGAACCUCUUGCUGAAGCAACCCGGGUUCAAGGGCUCUGCGGUGACCUACAAGUCCGGCGAGAGGCAGAAGCUGCAGGACGCCGGGUAUGUCAUCGUCGGUAACAUCGGCGACCAGUGGAGCGACAUCCUCGGCGCGCCAGAGGGUGCCCGCACCUUCAAGCUGCCCGACCCCAUGUACUACAUCGGCUAGGCCGCCUCUGGCUCGGCCGGGCAUGCUGCCAUUGAUUUCUCGAAUAAGCUCCAUGCUCUUAGUUAUAUGCAUGUUUCGUCAGAUAAUCAAUCCCCAAUUGUUGCUUGGUUCAUUUCCAUUGUUGAGAGCUUGAGAUCAAUUGCUACUAUGAAUUAGACGUGUAAGUGGAGAUGUUGCAUGCUGCUUAAUCAAUGGAUCUUUGUUAUGUUGUUUUUCUUUUUGCUCUAUUACAAGGAAUCCAUGGGCAUUAUUACUAUUUGAUAUCUUGUUCUUAAGUCUUAACUUGGAACUUAUAUUGCUGGUGGUAGAUUUUUCUGUACUAAAUUCUGCAUAUGGUGUAUUAAAUAUCAGGGACACAUAAUAUUGUCACACAUAUGGAAUCACUACUGCUAAAAUGACCAGUUCCUGAACCCAUCUGCUAUUGGGCCCAUUUUGGCCCGUCGGAGGAAGGGAUCAUCGUCGGUGGACAGGCAAAGAAGUGCUCGCAUAGACUCCUUCAAAAAAUGUGCCCUCAUAGACGACGGGUAUUUUCCACUGAUGUUGCGCAACUGGUGAUUGCAAUGUAGUUUGUGUCUUGCAUGUUGUAUGCAUAUGUAAUGAAUGUAACAUCUAAUAGUUAAUUAUGCAAGACAAAUAAAGCCCACCCUUUUCAGUAAGUUUAGAGCUAGAUUUGAGUUUGUCUUGGUCUCAUUUUUCUAAACAUACAAUCCUGGAGACAACUCGGUGAAGAAAUGAUGGUCCAAAUAGGUGUCUAACACGAAUCGUCAUCAAAGAAACCCUAUGGGAACCCACACUAUUCUAGUUACUUGGAUGAUUUGUAAUGAAAGAAAUAUAUGUGUCUUCCAAGUUAUUUUGACCAUGCCAAACAACAUCCCUGCUAAGAUAAAAAACGAUGUGGAGACUUGGAUAAAGGCCGGGCGAAGGAUCUGGGAAACAUUAUGCCAGGAGAGUAGUUCCGUUCUAUUAAUUUAUCCUUGGAUGACGUUUCGCGGAGAGAGGGGAGAGGGCGACCUGGGCGAUCUGGGAGCGUCGGGGGCCGCCGUGGGCAUCGUCGGAGAGGGGGAACAUCGGUACUCCUCCUCCGAUCUCGCAUCCCAGGCGCGGCGCCGGAGCCCGAUCUCGGCGGUGGAGGGACCUACUGUCCGUGUCCGAUGGAGAGUUGCGUACUCAGAGGCUGGUUAUUCGGAUCUGCGUGAGGGGCAGAUUGUUUUUCAUUCGGUUUCUCGUUGGAUGACACUACGGGAUGACGACGACGACAUCCUCGCCGGCUGCCAUCUCCAAGAGGAAGAUCUCAUCUGCGAAGGUGCGCAUUUCAUGGUGGAUAUCUUUUCUGUUACUUGUAUUUCUCCUUUCCUGCAGGUGAAUUCACAAGAACGGAUGCAGCCUGAUUUGGUGGACAUAUCUGACGAUGAUAAGAUCGCCUCACCAAGACUUCUCCCUCGAGUUGGGGGGAGGUUUUGGGUACUGGCUAAAGAUGAAGACGACGAGAACCACGACAUUGCCGUAGCACAGGAGGUCUCUGCUCCUUUCUGCGACCAGGUUUUCCAUCCGGCCACGAGGGAUUUUAUUCAUGCAUUGCCUGAUUCGAAGGUCGUUAAGGUAGUUCAACGCAAGGAGCGAUUGGCGAUUAAACCUUGGAGCGGUCCUCUGCCUAAGGUUCAUCUCGAACCAUUGCGGAUCUCGGACAUCAUACCUUGAGAGGCUUGGACUACUGUUUUGCCUAAGAGGAAGAACAAGGGUAAGAGCCGUAAAUUGCAGACGUCAGUCCCUGACAAGGUGCUGUCGUCCCGUGAUUCUCGCGAAUUACGUUUGAACGAGCCGAUGGCUGUUGUCGGGCCGUUGGGACCGGCGCUCGAGUUGGGCUUAAAAGAAACUGGGUAUAUGGCCCAGAUAGACUCCAAUCUAGCAAAACCUGCAAGUCCUACACCUACGGCUGCCCAGAUUUGCCUUGACGAGAAUCAUCAGGACUUGGUUUCUACGUCAAGUUUGCAUAUACCGAGUUCGGCUCUGCCUAGGGUUCCACGACGGCGUUUGCCUGGCUUCCCUUCGCUCGGGCCGGGUCGUGCAGUACGGGUUCCAGCGCUGCGGUGCAUGGCGGGGCGGGGAAACAAGCAGGCGCUGCCUCCCCCUCGACCACCGGCGGUUUCCCAGGCUGUGGGGCGGACUAGGCAGCAGCCCGUGAUGCCGCCAGGGCGCCAGACGGGCCAGGCUUCGGCUGCACCGGUUCCCGCUGCUGGUCAGGGUUUGCCCAACGCGGCUCGGGCGGAUACUAACAGGAUGCAGCCGAGAGGUCGAUGGGGGGAUGAUGGUGUUAAUGCAUAUGGUGAUGGACAGCACCGUGGAUCCUCUUCGUCUGGAGGAGGACGUGGCUAUGCCUGGCAGAGCAAUGGCAGCGCUGCUAAUGGGUUCGCCGGUCCUCCGGGACAGUUUGUGCCCCGGGUCUCGGGUCCUACUCACCCUAGGGAGGUGGAUAUAAGCAACAUUGGGGAGGGAGAGGUGGUGGCAGGAGAUUGAAGCCGCCCACGCCUCCAGUAGAGGUAGAUGCUGCCAAGACAACGGCGGGAGUACCUUCCAAUGCUCCUAAGGGGAAUACACUGCUGCCACCUGUUUCCGAGGAGGAUCCUUCCUUGGCUGACAAGGGAGUAUCGCUUGCGAAGGCAGAGGGGGGGGGAUAGGCCCUCCAAGUGGGCACGCAAAAAAGAAAAGAUGACAUGCUACCGUUGCAGUGAGACGGGUCAUUUUGUUUCCGAAUGCAGCGCGGAUCUGUGUGACUUUUGCUUAAAGCCUAAGCAUGGCUCAGCUAAGUGCCCCCUUACUGUUGGUCCUAUACAUGUCGUCACUUUAUAUGGGGUUUGCUGCCAAGAGUUGAUGUUCUUUGAAUCUCCCUCUGCUUCAACGUCGUUGCAUGUGCCAGACGCGGCCUAUACGGGGACGGUUACGGUGGCUCGUGGUAAUAUGUCAGCUGAGCAGGUGGUGCAACAGUUGAGGGAUCUUGUUUCAUCAAUGUUUCGGUGGGAACUGGUCCUUAUAGCAGAUAAUGUGUUCAAGGUUGUGUUCCCUACCAAGGAGGACCUAGCUAGACUGCUCAAGUUUGGUAUGUGUCGGGUUCCUAGUACUAGUUGUGUGCUAGAGUUCGAUGCUUGGAAGAAUGAGGAGCCAUAAGGUGUGCCACUUCCUCAGAUUUGGGUUCGUUUUUCAGGGGCCCCGUCAAAGGCUCUAAAUGACUUUCUGGUGACUUGGAGUUUGGGAUCUUUGAUAGGUAAGACUGAGAGGGUGGAUAUGCAAUAUACUCGGGCUAAAGGUGUUGCCAGGAUGAGGGUUAGUGUAAUUGAUAUUGCGCUAGUACCGGAUGAAGUUAUAUGGACUUAUGAUGGAAUGCGGUACACCUUGCAACUCGAGAUCGAGAGUCCGGAUAUGUUCGAGGAGGAUGGGACAGACAAAGAUACCGAUAUGGCUGACGGAGAUGAUGCUUCGGGUUCUAGGGAAUCUGAUAAGAAGGAUCAACAGCCAGUUAUUACAAAGAUGGUGGAUCAACCUACCUCAGGUUCUGCUACAGGGGCUGCUCAACCAGUGUCUCUUCCCUCGACGCAGCUUAGGUUCGGUUCCUUUGAACCAGCCUCGGCGCCAGAGAUUCGAGGGAGGGCUUCAGAGAAGUAUGAGCGGGAUCUGGUUCAUCUUAAGCCGCAAGGAAAGCAAGCAAAGUCAGGGUCAUUCAGUAUUAAAAAUCCUAAGGAAGCUUUGACCGUAGUUUCUCUUGGGGAAUAUUUUGUUGUCGCUAGGAAUGCUGAUACGGGCCGGUCUCAGCAACGUGAUGCAGUGCAGCCAGCAAGGCAUAUGUUGUCCGGGUUGGGUACUGUGCCGAGGGGUGCGCCGCCUGGGUCGCCUAGGCAGGGUUCGCUGCUGCUGUAGAGUCCAUCGCCAGCCACCCAGGGGGUUGCUGUUUCUCGGCCAGCCACCCCUGGGGCUGCUACCUUUUUGCCAGCCACACCGAGGGCAAUUACAGCGACUCCUCCUCCUGGCCUACUUCCGUCGUUGGAUGCUGCUGCGAGAUCCACCCCUGCUGCUGGUUUCAUGUCAGCCGAGAGAUCAACCCCUGUUGCUGCGGUUCCUAUCGCUACUAUGGCUGCAACCGGGGCAUCAUCUUUGCGGGUGUCAGGGCUGGAGGGUACUGGUCAGGGGCACCAUGGCGAGGUCGUUGCACCGCCGUCUGUUGAGCAGGUCAUAGCAUACGGAGGUAUUCAAAGUCCGCUGACUUCGGACAGGAGGUCCAGUCGGCGAAUUCAGAAUCAACCUGAUGCGGAUUAUUUACAGAUGGGACGUGCUAUGCGUGCGGCUAAAAUGAGAGAUGUCGAAACUGAGACAGGUAUGUCUUUCAGCAUUAACGAUUCUAUUCUUCAUUUUUCUCCUCAAGAUAUUCUAGAUAAGGCAGGUUCUAUUGGGGUUACAUUGGGGAACAAUGGCCGAGAAAUUUCGAAAUCUAUUAAUGAUCUAUUAGACUUAGAGGUCGAUAGAGCGUUAGACUUAGUACGAAAUUUAGCGGCAGUUAAACCAAUGCAAGAGUCUGAAGUUAACGAUCUAGGGGGACUGAAUUCUCUUUGUGAUAGUCUGGCCCCGUCAGUGGAUAUAGAGGAUGGUGCGGGCGAGGUUUUAGUUGGUCAAGGGAUGUGUGCCCAAUCUCAUAAGGCUGAGCCUCAAUUCUCUGGUUAUAUGGACCAGGAGUUGCUGGAAAAGCCGAAGCGUCCAUGGAGACGGAAAGUGUAUCCGGUCUCUGCGAUACGUAGAAGUGCUAGAUUUAAGAUUGCCAAAAAAAAUUAUGAUGAUUAAUGAGAGGAAUUUUUUGGAAUAGCAGAGGUCUUUGAGACUUGGCUAAAAGAAGAUUUCUAGCAGAGGCUACUUUAGAGCAUCACCUUGAUUUUAUCGCAGUGAUGGAGACAGGGAGGGAUAACUUUACGUCUCAUUUUUUAAGUUCUCUAUCAGCUGGGGUGGAUUUUGACUGGCACUGUCUCCCUCCAAGAGGAAGGUCCGGUGGGAUCUUACUUGGGGUCCGUUGUGACACUUUUCAAGUGCGGGAGGUGGUGUUUGGGGAGUUUGCAGUCAAAUUCAAGAUUAGAUCUAAGGAUGACGGGUUCCAAUGGGCUCUCGUUGCCGUCUAUGGCGUAGCACAGCCAGAUCUAAAGCCUGAUUUCCUAGCAGAUCUGGUCAGGAUUUGUGAUGACAAACUACCAUUGCUGGUAGGUGGAGAUUUUAAUAUUAUUAGGCGGGCUGAUGAAAAAAGUAGUGUUAAUUUUGAUGGAAGAUGGCCUUUCAUGUUUAACACAAUUAUUGAGAGCUUAGAUAUGAGGGAGACCGCUCUAUCAGGUAGGAAAUAUACCUGGGUGAAUGCUCUACAGAAUCAGACAUUUGAAAAGUUGGAUCGUGUCUUAACUAGUGUAGAGUGGGAGCAGAAGUUCCCUCUAGUAACUGUUAGAGAACUUCAACGCGCAAUCUCGGAUCAUACUCCUCUGUUGCUGGAUUCCGGUGAGGCUAGCCAUAUAGGAAACAAACAUGGAUUCUCUUUUGAAUCAAGUUGGUUCACAAGGGAGGGGUUCAUGGAUAUGGUCGAGAGGGAAUGGAAUACAGAGGUCAGGGGCGAAACCUCUAUAGAAAGAUGGCAGUAUAAGAUUAGACAUCUUAGACAGUAUUUGAGGGGCUGGUCUAAGAAUGUGUGUGGAAUAUAUAAAGAAGAGCAAGAUAAGCUCCUCAAACUUAUAGACAAUCUAGAUCGGAAGGCUGAGAGUUGUCUUCUGGAUGCUAACGAAAGGGAUCUCAAAUUCGAGGCCGGACAGCGCUUGCGUAUUCUCCUAAGAGAGGAGGAAAUGAAAUGGGCGCUUGAGCCAAAGUGAAGGCCAUAGUUCUUGGAGACAAUAACACUAAAUUUUUCCACUUGAUUGCAAAUGGCAAGCAUAGGAAAAAGAAAAUAGUGCAGCUUGAGCAAGAUGAGGGUACAAUACUAGGUCAUGAGAAUCUAAAAUUGUACAUCUCUAACUACUACAAACAUUUAUUUGGUGCUCCUGAGCAUAGCUUUGUGACUAUGGAUGAGCAAAAAGUGGCGGAUAUUCCUCAAGUUGGAGAGGCUGACAAUGAGAUUUUAUCCGCUCCUUUCUCAGAGAAAGAGGUGUUUGACGCGAUAGGGAAUAUGAAGAAUGGAAAAGCUCCCGGUCCAGAUGGGUUUCCGGCGGAGUUUUACAAGCACUGUUGGCAUAUUAUUAAGAAUGAUCUUAUGUCAAUGUUUGCUGAUCUUUUUAGUGGUCACCUUCAACUCUUCCAUUUGAAUUUUGGUACUAUUACACUCUUACCAAAGAAGGAAGGGGCCACGCGGAUUGAACAGUUUCGUCCGAUCUGUUUGUUGAAUGUUAGCUUCAAGAUUUUCACAAAGGUGGGAACAGAUAGGUUGACUAAGAUGGCCCAUUCGGUGGUACAAUCUACGCAAACAGCUUUUAUGCCAGGACGGAAUAUCCUUGAAGGAGUCGUUGUCUUGCAUGAAACUCUUCAUGAAAUGCACUCGAAGAAACUAGAUGGGGUUAUCUUUAAAGUGGAUUUCGAAAAAGCUUACGAUAAAGUCAAAUGGUCGUUUCUCCAGCAAACCCUACGUAUGAAGGGUUUCGAUGAGCUGUGGCGUAGGCACGUCGAUUGUUUUAUAAAGAAGGGAAGUGUGGGUGUCAAAGUGAAUGAUGAUGUGGGUCAUUUUUUCCAGACACUAAAGGGUCUCCGCCAAGGAGAUCCAAUGUCUCCCAUUUUAUUUAACAUUGUUGCUGAUAUGUUGGCACUGCUGAUUAAGCGGGCCAAUGAGAAGGACCUUGUAAGGGGCUUGAUCCCUCAUCUUGUUGAGGGGGGGAGUCUCCAUUUUACAAUAUGUGGAUGACACGAUUCUUUUUUUGGAGCAUGAUCUCAGUAAAGCCAGGAACCUCAAACUUAUCCUAUGCUUAUUUGAACAGCUAUUAGGGCUGAAGAUAAAUUUUCAUAAAAGUGAAUUGUUUUGCUUUGGAAAGGCCAAGGAUGAGCAGCUCACGUAUAAUCAAUUGUUUGGUUGUGCUAGCGGGAGUUUACCUUUUACUUAUUUAGGGAUCCCAAUUCAUCACAGAAAAUUAUCAAAUAAGGAUUGGAAAUGUAUCGAGGACCGUUUCGAAAAAAGUUGAGCUGUUGGAAGGGCGAGCUCUUAUCGUAUGGAGGAAGGUUGAUACUGGUUAAUUCAGUAUUAACAAGUAUGCCUAUGUUUCUCCUAUCCUUCUUUGAAGUACCUGUUGGGGUACGGAAAAGGUUGGAUUUCAAUCGAUCACGGUUUUUCUGGCAAAGUGAUGAGAUCAAGACUAAAUACAGACUCUCGAGAUGGGACAUCAUGUGUAGACCUAAGGAUCAAGGAGGUUUAGGGAUUGAAAAUUUAGAGAUUAAAAAUAAAUGUCUACUCAAUAAAUGGCUGUCUAGAUUAUCUAUGGAGACAAAGGGGUUGUGGGUACAAAUUCUGACGAAUAAAUACCUACAAAACAAGACUUUGGCGCAGGUUACAUUGAGACCAACUGAUUCACCGUUCUGGAAGGGGGUCAUGCGGUCUAAGAAUGCUUUUUUUCUCAGGUCUAAGUUUGUUAUUGGCAAUGGCCAAUCUACUAGAUUUUGGGAGGAUACUUGGUUGGGGGAGACGCCUUUAGCCAUGCAGUAUCCGCAACUCUACCAUAUUACACAAAGGCGUCAGGCGACUGUUGCGUCAAUUUUGCGCCAGGUUCCUCUAAAUAUUCAGUUAUGUAGAGCCUUAAUAGGUAACACAUGGUCAAGCUGGCUGCAUCUAGUGAGAAGGUUGUUGGAUAUUACCCUUACUGAGAACCCUGAUAGUGUUCGUUGGAAGUUGACCACUGAUGGAGUUUUCUCGGUAAAAUCUAUGUAUUUAGAUCUCAUAGAUUCUGUGUCCAUCCCGAAGUCCUUACAUAUUUGGAAGGUCAAAGUUCCACUUAGAAUUAAGAUCUUCAUGUGGUUUGUUCGCAAGGGGGUUAUUCUAACUAAGGAUAAUUUGGUCAAACGUAAAUGAAAAGGUAAUACUAGAUGCAGUUUUUGUGAGAACGAUGAAACAAUUAAACACCUCUUUCUGGACUGUCCUAUGGCUAAACUUCUAUGGCGAACACUUCUUAUUACUUUCAACAUUAAGCCACCCAAUAGUUUAAACACGUCAUUUGGGACGUGGUUAAGAGGGGUCGAUGAUAUAACUGCUAGCCUGAUCCGAGUAGGAUCAUGUGCACUUCUGUGGGCUACAUGAAACUGUAGAAAUGACUUGGUAUUUAACAAACAUCAACAUAUUCACUUUUUGCAGGUCAUUUUCAGGGUUAUUGCCUUGAUCCGCACAUGAUCAUUACUCACUCCUGUGGAAGCCAGGGAGCCUAUGGUUACUGGGUGUGUCCGAUGGAAGAUGGUAGCUCAGGUUAUCUUCAACCGUUUUGGAUGACGGCAUAUUAAUAGGAUAGGUGUUUAGUCAUCUAGGCUUAUUUCAAUGCCUCCCGGUUGUGGCGACGACGCCGUGUAUCUUUUUGUUAUUUUCUUCAUUUACUUAUCUGAAGACUCUUUGUACUUUUCGAGGAUUUGGUUUUGAAAUAAUAUAUGGCCGUAUGCAUCCUUCGAUGCCGAGGCCGGGGCUUUGCCUCCUUUUCAAAACAAAAAAAUUUAAUUUAUCCUUUCAUUGUUAACCCCUUUUUUGGACUGCAGUUAUUCUAACUCUCUUUUAAGUAAUGUAAUAAGGCAUAUCUUUUUCCUCCAUUUCGAGACAAAGUUCGGACCUAGCACAACUGUAACAUCCGCUCUACAUCGACUCACUCUAGAGAGACUAGUCUUGGCACCUUUUGCAGAACAUGAUUAGUGUCCUGACAUGGAGUAUUUUAGCAUAUAAUGGUCAACUCUCAAGCACAUAUCACUUCAAAUUGCAUUGCUGAAAAAGAACAUACACUUGCACGUUUUUCGAACUUUCACGCAACAAUAAAGUAACUCAAUGAAAUAUUAUGAUACACUCAAAAACAAUAAUAAGCACUCAACAAAAUAUCAACAGUUUUAUUUUGAUGGACGUAGUAGGACUGUAUCUGUUGUCCACUUGGCUACUUUAUCAACAUAUUUAUUUCAACCACCCUGAUCAACAGACAAUAUCUAAGUAUGUUAUGCUAAUUGAGUUAAAAUGGAUAAUCCUUAUUUUAUAAGAUGCAAGGAGUCGAAACAUAUUGUGAUUAGUUGCAUGCUACUAGCCUACUACAACACUAUUGAUCUUAGUUAAGAAGAUUAUCUUGUGAUUAGACGAAGUCUAGAUCAUCUAGCCAAGUAUGAAAAUAUUUAAAGGAGCGUGUGGAUACCUUUUCUUCUUUAAUAAAGGAAAAAAAAUUGUGUAUAUAUGCGAGUCUGAAAACAAAGAAAAGAAAGAUGGACAGCUUAUCACAGCUUCACAUAUGUCAUCUACUCCCUGCGUUCCUAAAUAUAAGUCUUUUAAAAGAUUUUACUAAAAGACUAUAUAUGAAGCAAAAUGAAUGAAUCUACAUUUUAAAUAUAUCUAUAUACAUUCUUUAGAAAGACUUAUAUUUAGGAACGGAGGGAGUAAUAGCUAAUUGAGGGGUUCAAAUAACUUUGUUUCGCAAUAAUGAUUGAAAAUCAACCUUUUGUUGAAAUCCGAAACUCUACGUACGGUAGACCUAUUUUUAUCAAGGGAAUCAACAAAGAUGAUCUGCUACAUAAAAAUGCGCGUAUGGUCACUCACGAGCCACAAGGACGAUGCUUGAGUAGUGAUGAGUGAGGUGCACGAUGAGAUUAAAUAUUCCAACUAGUGUAACCGAAAAGUAUAGUAAGUUAGACAUCGUUCUUGGUCCACGAAAAUAGUGGCGUGAUCGAUGACAUCUUGAUGCCGGCCGGAGACUAGGAUCUGGCUGUUUGAUAGGGUACCAAUUAAUUUAUACCCUCCACUUGGCCAACUUACUUCAUCACCAGUCGAUAACUGUAUACGCAUUGUUCCAUAUUCAUGCAUGCACGUGCUUACAGCCCAAGAGCAUUGGGUUUAGCUGGUGCUGUCUGAUCCGCUUGAACUCGUAGAAAAAGGGCCUUUGGCCUGGACCCUUUAGUCCCAGCCUGUCUUUCGGUCGGAACUAAAAGCCGGCCACGUCAUCCCAAAUUAUCAGUUUAACCCGCUUGGCCACCAUUUAUAUCAUUAAAAAACCUCAAAUUUGUAGCGGGGUGAGUUUACAUGUUACCUUGGAUCGCCAUUGUUUUUUUGGCCCUGCGUGUAACGACGAUGGCCGGAGUAGGCUCGUGCAGAUUAGUCCUCCUCUUGGUAAUUAAGGAGUAUAUAUCCACUAGCUAGUGUCUGACAUUCAGAACCUCCACUCGAUGGCCAGAGUAUUUGAUAUUUAUACUCUCCUCUUGGUAAUUAAGGAGUGCAUAUCCACUAGCUAGUGAUCUAAACGUUUCUAUAUUAAUUUAUGGAGGAAAUAUUUAAUAAGGUUAUUACCCAACAUUACAGGCGCCAUCCGAUAAACCAUAUCACUUUUUUUUGCGAGGACCUAAACCAUAUUCAAAAUGCAGAAUUACUGGCACGUGGUGUAGUUUACGGAUCGAGCCUCCUCCUUCGUGGGCACCAUAGUAGUCAUGCAAGACAUCGUAGUUAUAUAGUGGUCAAGUGUGAGUUAUGAUUGCUUGUAUAUUUUUUAUGCGAUUUAUGAGUCAAUAAAAGUGCUUUUAUUGAGAAAUGUAUCUAUAUUGAUUAUUGUUGAACCUGCCAUUAAUGUAACUAUUUACACAUGUGCGGGGCCAUGCCGUCCAACACGAGGAGCUUCAAAGCGUAUGUGUGGGAGGGGAGUGCGUCGAUGCUGCAAUGACGAACUGCUCUUGGUCGGCGUCCAGCCGGUGUUCCUCACCGGCCAGACCGAGGACCAUAGGGACAUCAUCGUCACCAACCUCCACCGCCCGAGUUCAAGGGCUCCACGGUAACCUACAAGUCUCAUGAGAGGCAGAAGUUGCCGACGACCUGGUAUGUCAUCGUGGGCACCAUUGAUGACCAAGGGAACGACAUCCUGGGGGUAUCCGGUGGGGGGCACACCUUCAAGUUGCCCGACCACAACGGCUAGGCUACAUAGAGAUCGGCCAUGCCUUGAUUGAUUUCUUGAGUAAGCUCUAUGCUUUCAAUUGUAUGCAUGUUUAGUAAACAAUCCCUCCCUAGUUGUUGCUUUGUUCAUUUUCAUUGUCGAGAACUUGAGAUCAAUAGUUAGUAUUUAUAAGACGUGUUACGCUAAAAGUUGCAUGCAACAUAAUCAAUGGUUUGUUGGUUUUAUUGUUUCUCUCUAUUACGAGAUCCAUGGGCUAUAUUGUUGUUUGAUGUAUUGUAAUUCUUAACUUGGAUCUGUAAUAUUGAUCAUGGUGUACUUUUUAACUAAAGAUUGUUGAUGGUGGAAUUAGUAUGAAAGGUACAUAGUGCUGUCACACAUAGGGUGUCACUACUCCCAUUUUGGCCCAACAGAAGGAAGGGUCAUCAUUUACGGGUCACCAGACUGCGUUAGUAUAGAGGCAACAAGGUAUUUUAACCAUGCCGAACAUCAUUAUUGUGAAGAUUAAAAAUGAGGCGGCAACUUGGGUCAAUUUUUGGGGUGGAGGAUUUGAGAAACACUAUGCCCCGUGAGAAACUCCGCUAUAUUAUUUAAGUCUUUCGUUUUUAGCCUCUCUUUUUUCGGCAGCGGUUCUUCCAACUCUCCUAGUAAAUAGAAAGGGGGAAAGAAAAUCUUUUGCCUCCAUUUUGAAAAAGAAAAGGUUGAGACUAACAUCCCUUUCCAUCGACCCACUCUAGAGAGUGUCUCCAACCUUGUUUUCUUGGCCCUUUUGCAUGACAUGAGUAGUGUCCUAACAUGGACUCCUUGAUGUGUAACGCUCAGCUCUCCUGACCAAAUCGCUUAGAAUUACAUCACACGCAAAAGUUAUAUACUUUUGCAUGUUUUUCGCACGUCAAUGCAACAUUAAAAAUUUCAAUGAAACAUUAUGAUACAUUUUGAAACAAAAAAGAACUCAGCAAAACAUACUGUGGAAAUAGAAAAUUUUUGCCAACAACUAAAAAAACGCAGUCAUCAAUUUAGCCGCAACAAAAAUAAGAUGUUAGAAGUCAGAACAUCUUGUGCAUGAUUAUAUGCUAUAGGACUAUUCAUUAGAGAAACUAGUUGGGUAAAACUUUCUCCUUUUUCCGAAUCUCCUUUUUAAUGUGGGGAAAAAGCUAAUGCAUUGUGGUUUAAAGUAAAUAUUACAUCGGCCUGGGAAAUUUAAAAUGAAUCUAGACUGGACGGCUACAAAGAGAACCAUAAAAGUAUUCAAGCACGUCAGAAGAAAAGGAAAGAUAAAAUUCAAAAAAGAAAAGAGAAAAGGAAAGAUGAACAACCUAUCACUUGCCUCAUAUCUUUACCUAAUAAUAAAGAGGCUAUUGCUUCCGUCGAAAAACCCACCGCUGCCGUUUUUUAAAAAGCCCCCUGUCUUUUAGGUAAUUAAACCCGCAGUACCUUUUUAUGUGUUACGAACAUGAAAACGUUUCAUUUUUGCAGGGAGCCUCCCAUGGCAUUGGAUAAGAGAAACGCAUCUGGGCUGACGAAAACGCACGAGAGGGCUAUCGCUUCUGCCCUCAUAAUCCCACAUCGAUACUUCACAGAUAAUUUCAUCACUUUAUAUACAUGCGCCUUGGUGAUUUUACAAGAGGCAACGGAAAUCAAGAGAGGAACAAAUUCGAGAAGAAGAAAUUGAGAUGACGCAAACAGAGGUGGAGCUGCGAGACAGAGGGGGCUCGGGGCGAAGGAAAGGGUCGGGCGCCGGCGAUGCAUACGUGGAGGUGGGGGCGUCGGGGUUAGAGGAUUCAGGCAACCGGCGGGGUAAGUCUUGCCGGAGACUGGCCCCAUAGGCCGACCUCGCAGCAGCACACCAUGGGAGGUGGUCGCGAGGUGCAGAGGUGGGAGGCGGUGGAGGAGCGGAGGAGGAGGCGAGUGCGGGCGCCAUUGGAAGGGGGGAGUCGGGGAGAUUGGGGAUCCUGUGGGGCUCUCUCCCCUAGCGGCGCGAGGUGGAGGAGAGGAGGGGGGCUGGGGAUCGGGCUAGGUUAGGGGAUUUAGGAGUGGGUAAGGCUAUGCCUUGGCACGCCUAAUGGGUUGUGCACUACUACUCAUCUCUCUUUCCUUUAAUUUCUUUAUCUAAAUUCUUUAAUUAAAAAUAUGUGGUAUUAUUUUUUUUCCGUUGCAACGCACGGGUCCUUUUGCUAGUAUCAUCUAACAAAUCGAGGGGUUCGCAUAGAUCUGCUUCGCCACAUAAUAAUAUAAUCAUGACAAAAGGCUACCUUCUGGUGAAAGCAGAAGCUCUGCAAUAAAGCUGCAAUCGUAGACCUAUUUUAUGAAGGGAACCAACAAAUCGAGCUGCACAAUCCAAUUAAAUACUAAUUCCUCCGUUCCUAAAUAUAAGAUUUUUUAAAGAUUAUAUUAUGAACUACAUAAAAAGAAAAAUGAAUGAAUCUAUAUUUUAAAAUAUGUUUAUAUACAUUUGUAUGUAGUUCAUAGUUAAAUCUAUAAAAGGUCUUAUAUUUAAAAACAGAGGGAGUAUAAGUACUGAGUAAGUUUGACAUUUGUUCUUGGUCCAACAAAACAGUCGUGUGACCCAUGACGAAGCGGCGAUGCCGGAGUUGGAUCUCACUGUCUGAUAUUUAUCGAUUUGUGCCCUCCACUUGGCCAGCUUAAUUGAUCACCAGUCUCUUUCAUUGACAAUUAGUGCUGCUCAUACACGUGCGUUGCAUACAGAUGAUAUAUUGGGUUUAGGUACGGCUGUCUGAUCCACUUGGCCACCUUCUCACUAGAAAGCUCAAGUUUGCAGCGACGAGUUUGCAUGUUACUACAUUGGAUCGCCGUUGUUUAGCCCUGCGUGUGUGAUGAGGGGCGGAGACCCGGAGCAGACCCGUGCAGAUUCGUAUUCCCUUGGUUAUGUUUUAUUCUGUAUAUUAGGUUUGUAUAAUGUAAAACCUAAAUUUGCUUCGCCACAUAAUAUAAAAUAAUAUAAUCAUGACAAAGGCUACCUUCUGGUGAAAGCAGAAGCUCUGCAAUCAAGCUGCAAUCGUAGACCUAUUUUAUGGAGGGAACCAACAAAUCGAGCUGCACAAUCAAAUUAAAUACUACUCCCUCCCUUUUUAAAUAUAAAAACUUUUAAAAAUUAUACUAUGAACUAUAUAAGAAACGGAAUGAGUGAAUCAAUACUCUAAAAUACUCCCUCCGUUCUAAAAUAGGUGUCUUAACCUUAAUACAAUUUUGUACUAGAUCUAGUACAAAGUUGAGACAAUUAUUUUAAGACAGAGAGAGUAUGUCUAUAUAUAUUUAUAUGUAGUUUAUGUUGGCUUUGGAUCCGUAGAUUAAUUCACCCAGUAGCUACCACAUACGUGCAAGCUAGCCUCUAAGCUAGCAAGCAGGCACACAAGUGGAUGGAUAUCCAAUUCGUAGAAAUAGAACGACGUACGACGAGCUAGCUAACUGAUUCGAUCGUCUUGACUGCUCGGAAUGUAACUCGUUGAAAAACUGAUCGAUGGAUUGCUAACAGGCUCGUAUCGAGCCUGGUACUUUUUUAUUGCGUUUUGAUCUCUGGUGUUACAAGCAACAUCUCUAGGAUGCCUUUUAUACACAUCCACAAGGAACUAUGAAAAUAGACUAGGACUAGGUAUCCUAAUACUACUAGAACUCGGUUUGAUUUUCUUUCCUAAUCCUAUGUGUACAAGGCAACGUGAUUAACUCACAUUCACCCCCUAAUCACGAUGUCCUUACUUCCGACCUGGGUCCCAAACACGAUUGCUGCUUCUCAUAAAUGUUAUCAUCGACAUGGCCUUUGUCGUCCCUUGCAACAUUUUAUGGACCGUCUUUACUGUCGUCGGCUCGUCCGUAGCUCGAUGACAACACUCCUUUUUGGUCGUGUCUUCAAUCUUCAUCUCUUCUUCGGUGCUUUGUAGACUGUCCUUCGGAUCAUCGAGGGUACAUCUUUUGAACCUGAGCGUGACCAUACUUUGGUCUAACUUUGAAUUUCAAGCUCUUGGCGCUUGCAUCAGCCCGUAACUUUGAACCACAAGGAAGAAGUACUUCUUUCCUCCGUGAGUUGCUGGGGUGAUAGGGCCACAUAGAUCACCAUGGAGCAGCUAGAGUGCAUCACUUGCACGAUAGGUAGACUGAGCAGGGAACGGCCUGCGGUGCUGUUUUCCAACCAAGCACCCGUCACAUACUCGAUCAACAUGGUCGAUAACUGGCAUCCCGGAUACCAUCUCCAUCUUUGACAUCUUCUUCAAGGCGUAGAAGUUAACAUGUCCGAAUCAUCAUCACUCUUGGCGAGCCAACACUCCAGUUGAGAUUGAUCAAGGUUGAGGAUAUAGAGCCUGUUCCGUGUGCGAGUAACACGAGCUAGCACGUUUCGGAGGUUGUCGAAGAUCGUCAUUACUCCGUUAUCGAUACCCACCUUGCAUCCAUUCUCGUCAAGCUUCCCAAUAAAGAUGAUGUUGUUGUGAAGCCGUGGGAUGUAGUACACUCCGGUAAGUAUGCGAUGUUCGCCUGUGAGACCCUCGAAGAGGACAGAUCCUUGCCCACAAAUCUCCACAUUUGAACCAUCACCGAACUUGACUGAGCCUUCAACAUCGUAUUCCAGCUCGAGGAAUUUCUCCUUGCACCCCGUCAUGUGGUUACUGGCACCCGUGUCGAGAUACCACAACACAUUCUGAUCACCAGCUAACUUCGGUGUCACUUUGUUUUCAUGAAGUAGCACCUUCCGGCUUGGUUUCACAACCACCGUUUCAGCGAGAUCACAAACUUCGGCCAUCAGAAGACCUGGACCUUCGUCUUCCUCCUUUGCCAAAUUUGCCUUGAUCUCUCGCUUGUCAUGCUCCGGACAAUCCUUUGCAAAGUGACCCAUCUCGUUGCAGUUAUAGCACUUGACCUCGGACAUAUCCAAGUUCCGUUGCUUCCGCCCUUUAGAUCGGUCAGCCUUACCACGACCUUGUAGCUUGCCUUUUCCUUUGCCUUCUCCGGUUUGUCCGCCGCGCGUUGUGCUGCUUGAGCCUUCGUUGCCAUCACACCUUCCUUUGCUACUUGGGGACUCCCAAUCUGCACGUGAGUACAUGAGUUGGUCACUACCUCCUCCGUUGCCUUCCCGACAACUACGAGAAUUCUCUUCCCACGUCCGCAGGCGUCCGAUCGCCUCCGUUAUGGUCAUGUCGUCGAUGUCGUAAAGCUGCUCGAGCGUGCCAAUGAUGUACGUGAAUUUUUUAGUCACCGAACUGAAAAAUUUCUCCACAAUCUCGGUCUCCUCGAGCUUUGCACCAAGCGCGCGGAUCUCUCCCACCAAAGUAGUAAGACGCAUGGCAUAGUCGUUCACCGAUUCAGUUUUCUCCAUCUGCAACUUGUGAAAUUGGCGCUUCAGCACUUGUGCCCGAGCCUUGGUGACGCGAUCUUCUCCGAUCCUCAUCUCGUUGAGUGCGUUCCACGCCUCUCUUGCCGUCUCGAACUCCACCAAUGUCAUCAGCACGGAAUCCGGCACAGACUGGGCUAUGGCGGCCAUGGCACCUUCGUCGCGCUCCUCGUCGACGUCGUCGUCCGUGAUGGCCUCCCACACUCGAAGAGAUCGGAGAAUAAUCUUCAUCUUCACCGCCCACACGUCAUAGUUGGCAUCGGUGAGCAUCGGGUACUGGAUGGGGAUGUUGCGAUGCGCCUGGACGUUGGCGCUGCUCGUUCCUCCAUCACUCGUUGCUGACUUGUCGUCCUUCUUCACCUUGUCGUCGUUCUUGUUCGCCUUGGCACCGCCUUUGCCGGAUUUGACCGACUCAGCGUCGCUGUCCGUCAUCGUAGAUCGUAGAUCGUCGAGGCUCUGAUACCAAUUGUUGGCUCUGGAUCUGUAGAUCAAUUCACCCAGCAGCUACCACGUACGUGCAAGCUAGCCUCUAAGCUAGCAAGCAGGCACACAGGUGGAUGGAUAUCCAAUAGAACGACGACGAGCUAGCUGACUGAUUCGAUCGUCUUGACUGCUUGGAACGUAACUCGGUGAAAAACUGAUCGAUGGAUUGCUAACAGGCUCGUAUCGAGCCUGGUACUUUUUGUAUUGCGUUUUGAUCUCUGGUGUUAUAAGCAACAUCCCUAGGGUGUCUUUUAUACACAUCCACAAGGGACUAUGAAAAUAGACUAGGACUAGGUAUCCUAAUACUACUAGGACUCGGUUUGACUAUCUUUCUUAAUCCUAUGUGUACAAGGCAACGUGAUUAACUCACAGUUCAUAGUUGAAUCUUUAAAAGGGCUUAUAUUUAAGAACGAAGGGAGUAUAAGUAGUGAGUAAGUUUGGGACACGCCGUUUUGGCUCCCGGACUCAGAUGAGCCCGAGCGUAAACAGUACGCCAGUUUGGGGUGCAAAAAAUGUUCCAAAAAAUCAAAAAAAAUUGUGAUGCAAGAUGCUCCUAUGUGUGAACUCUCUGUAAAAUUUUGUGAAGUUUGGACAUACGAGGAGCUCACUGCAAAAAAGACGAAAUUCAGAUGUGUGAGAAACUUUUGAAAAUCACACUAUUCAUGCCUGAUUUUGUCUUUUUUGCUGCAAACUCUUCAAAUGUCCAAACUUCAUAAAAUUUUACAGAGUUCACACAUCGAAGCAUCUUGCAUCAUAAAAAAAUAUUUUUUUUAAACUUUUUUGUAUUCCAAACCGUUGUACUGUUCACCGGGCUCAUACGAGCCCGGGCUCACAGAUGGAUUACCGGUAAGUUUGACAUUUGUUCUUGGUCCAACAAAACAAUGGUGUGAUCGAUGACCAAGCGGCGAUGCCGGAGUUGGAUCUCGCUGUGUGAUAUUUAUCGAUUUGUGCCCUCCACUUGGCCAGCUUAAUUGAUCGCCAGUCUCCUUCAUUGACAAUUAGUGCUGCUCAUACACAUGCGUUGCAUACAAAUGAUAUAUUGGGUUUAGGUACGGCUGUCUGAUCCACCUGGCCACCUUCUCACUAGAAAAGCUCAAGUUUGCAGCGACGAGUUUGCAUGUUACUACUCCCUGUGUACCGAAAUAUAAGACCUUUAAGAAAAAUUCCGACCAGAUGAAAAUGUGGACAAUUGACCAGGUUACCCCCCACCUCCGGCAGCUCGCUAAUUUCAAAUCAACCCAGAUCCAGUCGCCCCCCACCUCCGGCCAGCUCGCUAAUAACCCAGAUCUCACUACUCUGCUUGUCCGCUCCCUCCUCUGCCCCAGCUUGUCCGCUCCCUCCUCUGCCCCAGCUUGUGCGGCCCCUCCUCUGCCCCUACCUCCUCUGCCCAGCUCGUCUGCUAGCUACCAGCAGCUUCUCCAGUAGCCAGCGGCAGCAGCUCCUCCGGCAGCUAGCAGUAGAUCCAGCAGCUCCUCCACCAGCCAAUAGGAACUCCAGCAGCUCCUCCACCAGCUAGCACGAGCUCCAGCAGCUCCUCCACCAGACACCAGCACCAGCUCAUCCACCAGCCAGCGGCAGCCCCUCUGUCUGCCGGCAGAAGCAGCUCUUCCGCCUCUGCACUCCCAGCUGCCUCAACGAGGUCCUCUCCCAGUGAUGCACCCAUCGCCCAACAGAUCGCCGGAGGUUUUUCUUUUGAUCCAGGGUGCAGAUCGCCACAGGAGGUCCUAGUGGUGUUGGAUCCUGCUUAUCCCGUCUCCUGCAAACCAAAAAAGCAGGACAAUUAGAGGGUAUUUAUCACAACUUAGCAACAGUUGAACAGAAAACAGUUUAACAACAGCAGCAAAAAUUUUAGCGAGAUCAACAACAUCAGUAGCAGCAUCAAGACAUAGCAACAAUAGCAGCAAUAGGGAGACAUAGAAGUAGCGACAUGGAGUGGCAGCAGGAGUUCAUCAAAAUCAAUAGGGAGUAGCAGCAGCAGGAGUUCAUCACAAUCAAAAUCAACAGGGAGUGGCAACAACAUGGAAUUUGACCUCAACUGUACUCCGCCCGAAGAAGAUGAGAUCAGUCAAAAUGAGAUCAACAUGGAGGACUCACAGGGAGGCAAUGAUCAUGUUGAAGAUGAGAUCAACAUGGAGGACUCACAGAGAGGCAAUGAUCCUGGUGAACAUGAUAUGAACAUGGAGCAAAUAAGGGGAGGCAAUGAUCCCCACGAAGAUGAUAACAGUAAGCACAAUAUACUCAUUUAGCAGUAACAGUGUCUCAUUUACCAAGUUUUUGAAAAUGAACAGCAAGUCUAGUUUCUGAAGAUGAACAGUAACUCCACUUUCUAGAAAUAAACAGUAAUAGUAACUCAUUUGAUCAUUUGAACAUGUGACCAUUUAAAUAUUUUAUCAAUUUAUCAUUUGAUAAUUUGAGUAGGACUAAUAUUUUUUCAUUGUUGUGUUUCUUGUUGCAGUUCUUGAGCAAGGAGUUAGAAAGAGGAAAACUCUGAGUGACCAACAAAAAUAUGCUGCUUAUGUGGCAUUGCACAUAUUAUGUAUGAGUAGAGGUGGAAAGUUCAAGAUAACGGAUAAGAAAAACCUUGCACAUUUUUUUAAUGUAGAAUUGAGGAGUAUACAAAGAGUUUGGCAGAAGGCGAUGAAGCAAAUUUCAGAAGGUUUCGAGGUGGAUGUUUCCAACCAGAAAAAAGGAAAUGUGGAAGAAAACCAAAGGACAUCAACCUAGAGAAAAUCCCUACAAUACCACUCAAUAGUAGGUCUACUAUCAGAUCAUUAGCCUGGCAACUGGGAUGUAGCCCUACCACUCUCCACAGGAAUUCAAAAUGAAGUUGAUAAAGAGGCAUACAAACUGUGUCAAGCCAGCUCUAAAGGAAAAGAAUAAGAAGGAUAGAAUGAAAUUUUGCUUGUCAAUGCUUGAUGAGGCAACAACAAAAACUGCAAGGCCUAAGUUCAAGACUAUGCAUAAUGUUGUACAUAUUGAUGAGAAGUGGUUUACGAUGACCAAGAAGAAUAAAACUUAUUAUCUGCUGGAUGGGGAGGAAGAGCCUACAAGGCCUAUACAUGGCAACUGUAUUGGCAAGGUUAUGUUCUUGACGGGCGUAGCUAGGCCACGGUGGGAUAGUGAAGGAAAUGUGACCUUCUCUGGAAAAACCGAUGAACUCACGAUAAACUGCGUGCGCUCUUUGUCCCAGUUUCAGUUCCCUUGUUCUUGCUUUUCUAUAUCCCGAUGAACUCACGAAUCCAUGAUCCAUGGUCAAUCCCCAAUAUAUAUACUCAAGCAAUAUACUCUCUCAGCAGUAUAUAAUCAAUCAUACAGGAAAGAGUAUCACUCUCUCAGCAGAAUACAUACUCACGAAUCCAUGGUCAAUAGCAGCAUAUACUCCGUGUGGGGAUUAGUCUAGCUCGUAAGCCACGGGUCCAAAUCAAGCAAUAUAUCUACACUAGAAUCUGUAGCAGAGUACACAUCUGACAAAACCGAGAGAUGUGGAGAGGAAGGGGGUAAGAGACGGAAGGGUACCUGGGUGAGGUCGCUGAGGUGGAAGCAGCCGGUGGAGCGGUCGAGGUCGCCGCUAGGGUGUCGCCGGUGCACUGGAGCUCUGCCAACUCGUCCCCAACUCGACGCCCAGCUCGACGCCCAGUCCGGCGCCCAGCUCGAUGCCCAGGUCGACGCCGUCAUUGCUCGGGCUCGGCUUCAGCGCCUCCUUCACCCUGUCCUUGCUCGCCCAGCUCGUCGGCUUCUUGGUCUCGACGAGGCUCCCGCUGAAGUACUCCACCCCCGCCGCCGCAUAGACGAGCAACCCAACUGAGGGCGCCCGCAGCUCCCGCUGAAGUGAUCUGCUAUGUCCAGCACCACUCCGUCAUCCAUAUCCAACAUCGGCGCCCACACCAGCUCUGUCGAUGCAAAACAAACACAUUUUUGACCUUUGAGUGGGAAAGGAAGGAGAGGAAGCACGCAGUGGGAAAGGAAGGAGACAACACACGCGGUGGGCUGUGGGAGGAAGAACGCGGUGGGCUGUAGGAGGAAGAACGGUGGGCUACGGUGGCCGGCGACGACGUAGAGAGGCGACGAGGGAGGGGAAUGAGAGGGUGUGAGAUCUGGGCAGCGAGUGGAUGAGAAUGGGCAGGUGGGGGCAUUUUCGGAAACUCGGAAAGUUUCGUAGUGUCGCGAGAUUUACACUAGAAUCGCUAAAACGUCUUAUAUUUCGGUACAGAGGGAGUACAUUGGAGCAGACCUGUGCAGAUUCGUACUCCCUUCGUUUUUAUUUAUUCUGUAUAUCAGGUUUAUAUAAUGUCAAACCUAAAUCCUUUUAACAAAUUUGUAGAAAAAUAUAUCAACAUAAUCCCUUCAUUUCACAAUUUAGCGCUCGUUCGUGUGCUUUUCGAGAUCUAAGUUUGACCAUACCUUUAAACAAGAAGACCGAUUGCUAUGGGAGCAAAAAUUGAAUCACUGAAUUUGUAUUGAAAUUAAAUACUGAAUUUGUAUCGAAAAUAUAAAUUCAUUGGUAUAAUUUCUGUUGCCACCGCAGUCGGUCUCGUUGGUGAAAUUUAUGGUCAAACUUAGACCUCAAAAAACGCGAGCGCACUACAUUGUGGAACGGAGGGAGUAUACACCAUCAAAUCAAUAUCAUUGGAUUCAUCAUUUCAUAUAUUUUCACAUCAUAUAAAUUUAUUAUUGUAAAUGUUCAUAUCGUUUUCUACAAAUUUCAUCAUACUUUAGAUAGUUUGACUUCAGACAAAACUAAUAUGAGGAGUAAAUAAAAUCAGAGGGGUACCACUCCUAGUAAUUAAUGUGUAUAUCCACUAGCUGCUGAUUGACAUUCAAAUUCUCCACUUGACGAUGGCCAGAGUAUCUGAUAUUCAAACUCUCCACUUGGCCACCUUAUUUCUUCUCCCCAAAUGAGCUAUGAACUGCUCAUUCAUCCAACAUUAAAAUCACUGUGAUGAAACUCUACUCUUUCAGUUUCAUAAUUAGUGCAUAUAGUUUUUCCCCAAAAAACUAAACUUUGACAAAGAUUAUAAAUAAAAAGUCUAUAUCUAGCACAUUGAAUACAUACCAAUAGAUUCGUCAAAAAUAUUUGCAUAUAUUAUAUGAUGGUAUUGUGGAUAUACAUAGAGUUAUCUAUAAACUUGGUCAGAUUUUACAAUGUUUGACUUUUCUAUAAAACCAAUAUGCACUACACUAGGGGAUGGAGGGAGUAUCGUAUGAAAUAUUAUGUGGAAUUAUUCCGUUUCAGACAAUGUUUGGUAUCAAACACAACAGGUACAAUGUUCUAUAGUUUCUCCAAUGUGCAGAAUUAUUAGUUGAAUUGGCAAUUAUUUACAGGAGGGGAGUGCGCUGGUGUGACCGAAAACUAAGUGGAUCGAUGUAUAACAAGCUUCUUUUGGUCGGCAUCAAGACGGUGUUCCUCAUUGUCCGAAUCGAGGACCGGAGUGCAGUAAAUUUUACCAAUCUAUGAUGCGCUCUGGGUGGAUGAAACUGCUCCAAAAGUUGCCCGAGUUCAACGACUCUGUGGUGACCUACGAAUCCGGCGAGCGGCAGAAGUUGCAAGACGUCAGGUAUGAUAUCGUAGGCAACAAUAGUGACCAGUGGAGUGACAUCCUCGACACACCCAAGGGCACCCGCACCUUUAAGCUUCCCUACCCGAUGUACUAAAUCGGCUAGGUUGAAUGCUAGCUAAUCGUCCACGAAUAAGCUCCAUGUUGUUCACUAUCCAUGCUUUGUGAUUACCUUUUUUCCGGGCAUGCUUCCUCAAUACUAAUCCACUAUUACUGCUAGUUUUCUAAUUUCUAUUGAGAAAUCUAUUGCUGCUUGGUUAAAUUCCAUAGUUGGGACCUUGAGUCAGUUACUAGUAUUAAUAAGGUAUGCUACAAAGAAAUUGCAUCUUGCAUAAUCAAUGAAUCGAUGCUCCAUUUUUCCUUGAUUAUAUAAUAUAUGUAGUUUCUAUUUUACACUUUGAUUUAUUUAUUUUUUACUUUUAAUAUUUCCUUUUUUUUCAUUUUCUAGUUUUAUGUUUUAUUUUUUUAUUUGAUCUCCCUUAUGUAUUUAUUUUCUUAUUUUAUUCUUUAGAAUGCUUUCUAUUUGUAAAAAAUAAUGAAUUUUUCCAUACCCUAAUAGUUAAAAACAAUUCCGGGAUAUUAAAAUUACGAUGAACAAGGUCCUAAUAUACGUCGAGAUUUUCCCAAAUACCUGAUGAAUAGUUUUUAUAUGUUUAAGUACAUUUAUAAUUUUGUAAUUACACCAUCAAAUUUAAAUAUAUUUUAAAUAUUUGUUGAAUGCACAAAAAGCAUUUACUAAAUAAUUCGGAACAUUUGCUAUUACAUUGUGAACAUUUCUAGAAUACACAUUGAACAGUUUCCAAACCAUGAUGACUUUUCUAAAUAUGCAUUAUAAAAUUUUCAGUUACACGAACUAAACUGUUUUACCCUGAAUUAUUAUUAUUUUUAAAUUUGUUUUUUCUUAGAAUUAUAAAUAAAAUUAAAUUGAAGUGUUUCAGAGUAUAAAGGACAGAACGGGUAAAAACAAUGACAGAAAAAAUAAAAAUUGCAUUGGGUCGGGUCAUUGUGGAAUACUAUGGGCGAGCCCAAAGGAGUGUUCAUUACUGGUGAAUUAUAGUAGCAACGUGAGGGAAAGUGUGCUUCUCAGCCCGAGCUCAAAUGAGCUCUGGUGAACAGUAAAAUCCAAAAAUAAUUAAAAAAAUAUGAAAUUGUUUGGUGAAAGAAAUUGAAAAUAGUCGUAACUGCCUCCAAAAUUGUAUUAUGAAAUAACAUUUAUUGAAGCCAUGGAGAAAACAAAAUCGAUACUCCAAAAUGCUUUUGAAAUUAGUAUUUUCAGAGUAUCGAUUUUGUUUUUUUGCCACAUGUCACACAAAUGUGAUUUUCUGAUGAAAUCUUGCAAGAUAUUAGAACUUUUGCCAAUGUUUAUCACAAAAAAAAAUAGAUUUUUCUGGAUUUUUUUAAUUUAGUUUUGAUUUUACUGUUCAUCAAAGCUCAUUUGAGCUCGGGCUGAGAAACUCCACAUCCCAACGUGAGCGCCUAUUUGGUGUCGUGCUCAUUUCUGGUAGCCGACAAACUGAGUGGUUUUGUGCGUGACGUAAAAGACACAAAACAAUCAGGGCACUUCGAAGGAAUCAACGUUGUGUCCUUUCACAGGGAAUGCGUGAUGCUAGUUGCUGGCCACUCGUGCCAACAAUUUUUGCUAAUAGAAACACAACAACAAUGUGCAGGAAAUUACUGCAGCGGUGAAUUCCAAAUAUUUUCUAAAGUACACAAAUAUUUCAUCAAAUCUGAACGUUUUUUGAAAAAUCACAGUAUUUUUAAGAUGCCCAAUAUUUUUUUUAACUUUUCAGAAUAUUUUAAAUUUCAAACUUUUUUUUUAAAUUGCCAAACAUGUUUUGAAUUUGUGGACAAAACUUUUGAACAGAGAAACAGUUUUACAACAUCUGAAACCUUUUUUGGAACGCAAUAAGUUUUUCCAAAUUUCCAAGCAUUUACAGAAAAUGGAACAUAUAUUGACCAUUUCCAAACAUUUUUCAAAAACAUGAAUACUUUUUGAUUUAUGAACAUCAUUUCAAAACAGGAACAUUUUUUGAUAAUUCUGAACUAUGUUAGAAAAUGCGAACAAUUUUUGGACGUUUGUUGAGAACCCAAUCAUUUUUAGAAGAAAAACAAUUAUUAAAGUUUCAGACAUUUUUUUACUUGUGAAGUAAUGACCAAAGAAAACCAUAAAAUGUAAAACAACCGAAAAUAAGGAAAAAAGGAAAGAAAAAGUUGAAAAAAAUAAAAAUAUGAAUAAUAAAAAAUAAUAAAUUCUGGAAAGCAGUGAAAAAUAAAUCACAAAACGGAGACCAGUUUAUACGUCCUGCUGCUAUAUGACAAAGUAAAAAAUCUAAAAAGAAAAUCCCACAACAAAAGCUAUUUGACAUACCGAGCGUCAUAUAGAAAAUUCAAACAACAACCACCACAGAACGCUGAUACAGAUGACGGGCAGGUGGAUGUUUCUCAGAAUCAGAUUUUGAAGAAUCAUGAGGCGAAAAGAACUGGUGCCUGCAAUCGGCCGUGGCAUGUACACAGGUGCUAGUAAUGAUAUAAAUCACGGAUAUUGAUUUUGAAGGUCGAGCUCCAUGGAGGUCUUUGAAUGCAAAAUUCAAAAUUCAUGAAAAUAUUUUUUUUUUAUAUUUCGAAAAAUUCCGUAACAAAUACAGAGAUAGAUGAAGGCAUAAUACACAAGUGUGUAAAUUUUUAGGACCAAAUACGUUGAAAUAAGGCUGUACAAAAAAGGCAAAUCUGAGGUUGUUUAACACAUGAUACUAUUCAUCCUCUCGGAACAUGAUUUUAUAUUUUUAUACAGGUUGCAUUUCAACGUAUUUCAUCCUUGUUUAGUUUUAUAAUUGUUUUCAAAAAAUCUGAGGAUGAGGCAUAUGUCUCACAUCCUUGUUUAGUUGUAUAAUUGUUGUAAGAUUUUUUUUUUAAUUUUGAACUUUUCAAAAAAUCGGCCUCGGCCAAAACGCCUUUCUCUAUAAAUCGUGAUUUGUAUACUGGUAAGAAGAAUGAAGCAAUGCAUAUUCAACUAAACAAACUACAUAUUGUCUUGAAUUCACUCAUUUGGAAUCUAGCUAGAAAGGGUGCUUUUUAGGUGCCCAGAUUUUUUAAUUUUUUUGAGGGAAGUGACGAGGUUCUUGGGAAGAAAAGAUUUAACAGAUUCAUUGGUUUUCACAAAGAGAGCAAAUCAAUAUGAGCGCAGAAGCAAUCGAGUUUUGCCAUUAUUAAGCAACAACAUGACAUACAUGAUACAACUAGAGGUACAUAUAGCUAAAUUAGCGGAAGCCCUUUGUAUUGGUACUGCUCGCCGAGCUCCGCGAGCAGAUCGUUUUCCGCCUUGAGUAUGUCGCCCAUGUUGUCCAGCAGGAGGUACUUGUCCAGCGAGAAGCCCGACUCCGGCGAGAUGAGCGCCGCGACGUUUCUCAGGAACUCCUCGUCUAAUGGGGCAAGGGGCUCCCACUUUUGUCCCGACGUCAGCAGCGGCUUCUGAGGUCGCCGCCUCACGACCUUCAUUUUCUUCUUCUUCAUCGUCAUCCUCCUCUUCUCCCCUCUUGCGGGCGUCGGCGACUUCGCCCCCGCCUCCGUGUUCUCACACGAUGAACUCGCCAUGAUUCUUCUCCCGUCCUUCUUCCGCUGAGAAGAUUGGUCUGCUCUGCUGGUUUCGCAGACUUGCGUGCUCGCCGGCACCGGUAUAAAUACAGCAAAAAUAAGAGAUCGAUGAUUCAUUUCUUGGCUAGGGGAGCAGUUCGUUGUAUCCGACUCGUAUUCAGUCCACGGUUCCGGUUCCUACUCCCGCAUGGUCGACGCAUCGGUUGGGAUCCUAAUUGGGACGGCCCAAUGGUAGGUUAUUUUAUAGUAUUUUUAUGUAUAUUGUCUAUAAGGACGUUACUGCAUCAAAAAGAAAAGUAUAAUGGCUCUGCAUCUAGUCUAGUUGCUGAAGCGUGUGCGUCGAACAGCUUCCCCAUCGCUUAGUGACAGUUCAUGAAAUCGUGUGCGAUGACCAUUUCUAUGGAUUUUUUUUGCAUGAUAAUAUGUGUCUCAUUUAUAUCAUAAUGAAAAUAAUACAAGACCAUUGUUGUGGAUUAUAACAACACAUAUACACAGCCAAAUACAAACCCUACGGUCUUGGUCACAAUAUAGUGGUACAGGUGUCCAUUAGGACAUAUGUCCGUGUGUUGCAACGGAAAAAAAAUUAAUUUGUAUUUGCAAGCACAACACGUCAUGCUCCGCUACGAAAGAACGCUAGUUACCACAUGACCAAAACGACCAUCGAUGCAUCACUACAUCCAGAGAGUGUCACCACCUGCAGGGAGGCGCACGUCAAAGCCUUCAACAAACGCGGGGACUAUGUUACUCCCUUUGUCAGACAUUAUUAGGCUGGUGGACCACUUAGCCUCAGCCGGACAUUAAUCAUGAAGUGAGCCUUAGCGCAGAUGGUAAAGAUAUCUUCAACGUGACGAUGUGGCGUUGUGGCUCCCUGGCCCAGAUCUUCCCACCAAUGAAUAGUAAAAUCGACAAAAAAUAGAAAAAAUGAUUUUUUUUUUUGGAGUGCAAGAUGUUCCUUUGGGUGAUGUCAAAAACUGCUUGGAGCUGAUUUUUAUUUUUUUUUGCCAGACGCUCCUCGAAUGUCCAAAUACCUCGAAAUUUUGCAGACAUUUUAGCAUCUUAUGAGCCAAAAAGGAUUCAGAUUUUUUUGAUAUUGUGCUUUUCACCGGAUGCAGAUGAGCCGGGGACCAUUUUGAUUAUUAUUAUGGCUAAUCUAGUUUAAAUGUGUCAUUGUUCAUGUAGCCCACAAUCAUUUUUUCUUUUAUUGUUUGAACACACCACGUCCUUCAUUUCUUUUAAAGGUUUCCUUGCAUGUCUGCUCGUCGUGCAGUUCAUUCCUUUUAAUUGUCAUUCCUUUUAAUUGUCCGCUUUUAGCAUCCAUUUUUAACUGUCUUGCUGAUAUUCCAAGCAAACCGCAAGGUAUAUAAACCGGUAGGGAUCUAUCUAAAGAGGCAAGGUGGGUUUAUUUAACAUAAAAUAUUGAUGUCGAGUUAUUUUUAAAAAAACAGCCUCAACUUUAUUAAUUAGAGAUAAUUGUUACAUCGUCUAUUAAAAAAGAUACAAUAUUUUCCAAAGGCUCCUCAAUCCACUCACUCGUAUCAGAACUCUUUGCUAAUCUAGCAAGCUCAUGUGCUACUUCGUUCGCUUCUAGUAAAAAAAAUUCAGAAGCCAUAGAAAAACAAUCCUCAAAGGUUGCAGCCGCCGCUCCCGCAUAGUACCCUCCCUUGUUCAUUGUUUCAAUUACUUCCGAGAAUAUUGAUGUAGAGUUGGUUAGUGCAGUUGCCUUACCCUGGACAUGGAGUAUUGAGUUUAAUCUUCCAUAAAUACAUAUUUUUGUACACGUUGUUCGUGGCCCAUGGCAGACGGCCCAAUAUUGUAGCGAAGCCCAGCAGUGCAGCAACCUGACAUGGUACGAUAGAUGGUGAGGUGUAUGCGUGCUAGCAACGUAAGAAAACGGCCAGGGAGAGGCAAUGUAUGUACAAUAUUUUUAACCAUGGAUUCAAGCUCGUAAAAUUUUGAGACUUUUCCAUAAAACUGUAUGACAGACUAAGAAUACAUAUUUUCUUAAUUAGUAGGUAUAGAUGCGGCAAGUGGAUUGUUUCCUGGUUUUGGGAAGUUUCCAUAAGCUUUUCAGACGGUUUUUCAUUUUUUCUAUUUUGGGGUUUUCCUGUACCAAUCUUGUCUAUUUUUUAUUUUCUACUUAUUUUCAUUUUGCUUUAUUGCAUAUUCUUUUACUUUUUUUCAUUUUCCUUUUUCUAUUUAAUUUUGGCAAAACACGAAUUGUUUCAAUUUUAUGAUACUUUUUUUAAUUGAGGAACUCCUUUUCGAACUCGUUUUUUCAAGUUCAUCAUUAUUAUUUUUUAAAAUUAUCACCUUUUUAAAAAAUAUAUGAACUAUUUUUAAUGUUUGUGAACGCUGUCUCAAAAUUGAUGAACUUUUUUCCUAAAUGCUGAAGUUUAUUUUAAAACUGAUGAACUUAUUUUAAUAUUUGAUGAUCUAAUUUUAAAACCGGAGAAUGUUUUUGCAAAAUAGACGAACUGUUUUUCUAGCAUAUGUACCUUUUGAAAAUUCAUGAACUUUUUUUCAAUUUUUGGGCUUUUUUUAAAAGUUGAUGAGCUUUAUUCAAAAUCGUGAAAUAUUUUCCAUCUAUGUGCAACCUCUUUUUUCAAAAUCAUGAACAUUUUCGAAUUGAUGAACUAUUAACAGAGAUUAUACGCAUGACCUUUUUUGAAUUCGCAAACUUUUUGUUGAAAUAUCUGCAUUCUAUUUGAUUUUCUGAUUAUUAUUUUCAAGCUAGCGAGCGUGCUCGUGGGCUCACCCAUGCUAGCAAUGGUGCGAGCUGGCACUGGCGCAAAACGCGUCAAUUAGGAAGAGCAACUAAUUAAGGAGUACUCGUCCGAGAGCCUCUCGAAGGGUCCAUUGCCACGUGUCGUACUCUUGGUGUUUCCUUUGGAUUUUUUUCUAUACAUAUUUAUGUCUGGAAUUUUGGCUUUAAGAUGAUUUUGUUUUCCGGGUUUUUUUGGCUUUUCCGUUUACCCCCGAUUUUUCUUACAAUUUAGACCCAAAAAUAAGAUUUUAAAGAAAAAUCACAAAAAAAUGCAUUUUCUCUUUCUUUUUUCCUACCCUGAGAGACAUGGAUUUGCUUCUCUUAGAGGCACAUGUGCCUCCUGAAAAAGCAAAAAAAAUGUUUUUUCCUUCCGCGAGGCAAGGUCGUGCCUCUCAGAAAAGAAAAAAGAUCCAUUUUUCCUUUCACGGAAGUACGGAUUUGCUUCCCUGAAAGGCCUAGUCGUGCAUCUUGAAAAAGGAAAAAUGCAUGUUCUCAUGAAGGAAAACAACGUGGUUUUAGUUUGGUUUUUUUGUUUGAUUUUUUCGUGAAAAAAAGUCCAACGAAACAUAUCAACAUGUGGUCUAGUUUUUAAGAUCUCGACGCAUGGAAUCUAACGGCAAAACCAGUUCUAGAUUUGGACGUAGGUUUUGAGAGAUAAAAUGUUUUGAAUAAACAAAUCUGCGAAAAAGGAAAAACCCUUAGGUUGCUACAAGUGACGCACAUGCAGUUGAAGACUUGUCGCACCCUGGGUUGGGGGAGUGAUCUUUGCCAAGAGUAGUUUUCAAUUAGUGAUUUCGCUAAUUAGAAGCUCGCAUCAUCUCCGAUGCGAGCACUAGUGGAUCAGCCCAUGUGCGCUCAUAUGGGUUUUUUGGAGCGGCUUUUGGAAGCUUCUAUGGAGCUGUUUAGACAAAUUUGAAAACCUUUCAUUCAUUUUUUAUGUGUUCACUAUAUAGAUUUACAUGGACUAAAGUAAAAUGUAGAUUUACAUUAUUUUUUCCCUUAGUUUUCUUUGUGUGUUUUUAUUCAUUUUUUGAAUACACAUGGAAUUUUUGGAAAUACAGUUCGAAUAUUUUUUGUUUACAUGUUAUUUCUUUUAUACACGUUGAUGAUUUUUGUAGACACAUUUAAGUGUUUUCCAAAAUAAACAGUAUUGAUUUGUCAAAUGAACAUUGGAUUUCUUAUGAAUAUAAGGUGAACAUUUAUGAAACACCCAUUGAACAUUUAGAAAAAUUCCAUGAACAUUUUUUUCUUAAAGCAUGCAAAACAGUUCUUAAUGUUAGAACAUAUUUUUUAAUGUCAAAGACAUUUUUGUUGAAUGGUACAAAAUAUUAUUUAAAAUUACAAGACCAUUUUUACAUACUAGAAACAGUUGUGGAAAAUGUUAUGACCAUAUUUUUGAAACGGCUGAAUAUUGUUUAAAUUUCAUAAAUAUAUUUAGAAUGGUAUGUCAAAAGUUUAAAAAUAUGUGAAUAUUGUUUCUACAUUGUAUAAAAAAUUUAAAAACUGUCAUGAACAUAUUUCUGAACACAUGAACUAAAUGUCAGGAACAUUUUUCGAAUGGUACAAACAUUUUUAAAAUUGUGGAGACAAUUUAUUACACUACAUGAACAUUUAUUUGAAACACGCAAUGAACAAGGGGUAAGGGACACGUGUCAUGUGCUUUGCUAGCGCAUCGUGGUUGCUGAGUGUCUCAUUCCUUUGUUGUUGAGUUUUGUUUUAGUGCGGAGUGUUUUUACAGUAUACUCGAGAAAGAUCCUACGUUACGAAGGAUGUGUUUGGUAGGCGUUUCUAGCGGGACUGGCUCGUGGACAUUGGCUCAACAAAGUUUGGUUGAGAUAAAACGAUCAUAAAACUAACAUCUGCAUUUAGUUUGGUUGCCGGCAUACAUUCUAAACUGAAUGGGGUGUCAUGAAAGACAUACUAUUUGGUUGUCUGUUUGUGUAUGCGCAAACACAAGGCCUACUAUUUGGCUGCAUGCAACACUUGUUGUGAGAUAACCUCUUCGAUGCGGUGGUGAGGUUACCAUCACAUAGCGGCGUCAGGAAGAACACACAACAUAACAUAGUAGUAAGCAGUUAUAAAUAUUGUGUCACAUUUAAAUAGAUUAGUUUAAAUGCAAAGCAGUUCAAUAUUAAACUAAAGCAACUAGAGCAUAUGAGCGGUUGUCCUAGACGUUCACAACGAAGGCAUCGUCAUGUCUCCCGCACCAGGCCACCACUUUACUGCCAUCGUCAUUGAAGACGAUGACCUUCACCAUGUCGGGAGUCAUCAACUGUGACCAUGAAGCCUAUCUUGAUUUGUUGGACGGCGACGAAGGUGGCCCAAACCUGGUCGAGGGUGACCCUUUCGUUCAACAGACGGACAAUGACCCUCCUAGAGCACUCGGUGUUCGCCUUCAAAUUGAACUCCUGUGGCAUAGACGGGAAGUGCUUCAUGAAGUCGAGUGGCAUAGGUAUGGCCUCGAGUGGCAUGAUUACCUUGCAGAAGUUAUUUGGCUCACCCAUCUCAUGGUAGUGGUCGUAGUUCUGACGCUUGUCGCUGGGGGGCUCCUCCGCGUAUCGUUGUCCGUGACCGGGCUCUGGACAGGCGCCACCUUUGAGGGCGGCACAACAUCCUUGCACUUGUAUUGCUCCUUUGGUGGCACCACCUCAUUGCCCUUGUUCUCCGUGUCGAUUUGCAGUGUGAAGAGGUUCAAACGAUUGGGUCAGGAUUUGCAAUAUGAACAUUGCAUCAUUGUCAUUAACUUAUUGUCGAGAACCCCAUUAUUUACCUAGGCUGAUGGUUACCACUUACCCACCACCUAGUUGUUUGUCUCUCUUCCUCCAACCCAAUGCCAUGAACUCUAAGAACAAGUCUAACCCCAUCCGCAACCCCUUUCCUUGGGGCAUUGGAUGGAGGGCCUUCUUCCUAGGGUGCUCGCUCGAUGACCGCACCAAGUUUGAGAACACCAUGAAAGUGUGUUCAAACUUCAACAGCUUGGAGGAGCAGUACAAAGAGUAGGACGCUAUGGUGAAGAAGGCGAGUCGGAGGAGUUGAAGACGCUGAUCAGUGACCCAAUGAAGGGUUCUAUGUGAGCCGACAUACUUCAUUGAGCCAUGAAUCAAGCCGUCCCCGGCGACGCUGGACAGAGGGAAAACUGAGCCAAGUACAGACAGCAUCGGUGUUCUUAUGACCACGGGGCCGCAACGUACUUCACCACAAAGAUUAUGGUGGUGCCGGUGGAGGAGCAUCAAGAAGUGCUGGCUAUGGAGGUGGAAGAGGAAGAUGCAGUGGCGACGAUUGUGAGGGCGCUGGAGCUAGGACACCUAAGCAUGCCAAUCAAGUUGGACUCCGGCGAGGAAGAAGAUAUGGUGGUGUAGGUCGAGGAGAAGACCAAGGCCAAGGCUACCCACCGCUCCAAUCGCCUCCAGGGUCCUGUGUACUAUGUAAGAUGAACCCUAAUCCCCAUUCCGAUUGUACUCAAUCCUGAUUGGGAACCUCAUAUCUACCCGUAGUCAUGACGAUGUUAUGACCACUCCUAUGGUGUUUACCCCGAUUCCCCAUUCUCCUAACAUGGAUCGAACCUAAACUCGGAUCAAAUGCAAAGUAGUACAUGAGGAGGGGGGAAAGUGCUUACCGCCAUUGCCGAAGUGCUGCUGUGGAUGCCGGUGAAGAGGCCGGAGUCGAUUUGCUGUUCCUCGAUCUGAUGCACGCCAUCGCCGCCGUCGGUGAGAGUAGGGAGAGUGGAAAGAGAGCGGUGAGAAAAGGUAAGGGUAAUGACUGUCGACGCUUCGGGAAACAACGCGGCUUCUCAAGGGUGGCUCCCCUUGUGCAACCCCUGCCGCCCACGUGCAUCGCAGAGGCCUGGCUCGCGAGAAACUACCAAUUCGAACGUGCCUCGCGAGACAUACCCAGACAUGCUUUAAAGUUCGUGACAUGCAGGCCCAACAAUGUAUGUUGACAACCAAUCAGUUUGUUUUCUUUCCACGGGCCUGGUUGGACCUUAUGCGGGCAACCAAACGCAUCCCCAAGUGUUGUUUAUUUGUCGGAAUUUUCUAAGGUACUGGGCAAACGACAUGUGUACUGAGUGCCCAUGAAAUUACACCAGGCAAACUGUAAAAUACUCAGCGUAAUUUUUUUCCUGUAGUUGUACAAUUGGCUGCGCUGCAGUUCCAAAUUUGAUAAAGUUACAAGGUUGGUGUACCAGAAAUUCAUUAUCUACCAAUCAUCAAUAUGUAUGCACAAAACAGUUGCCUGUCUGGGCCUUUGUAUCAACGUCCAUCCAUGUGUAACACGUUCAGCGGAACCGUCUACCAAACGUCUGACAGACACAGACACGUGCAUAUCCUCCAAACCGGGCAGGCUGGUUGCUUGCGCCCUCGUCGCUUUCUUGUCGAACUGGCUCCAUAUAUAGACUAAUGCACACCACAGUUCAAUUUCCAUUUUCGUUUCAGUCAUCGUACAUAUGACUGCAUUAUUCAGCUAACGUUUAAGCAUAGGGAUUUUUAUUUUCAUGUCCCGUCUUUCUUAGUUAUGAUUAGUUUUGCCCCGUUCAUUUAACAUUGCUCACUUUUUUCCCUUCUUUACUCAUCUACGCCUCGUAAAAGAUCAAACGGUGUGUUGACAUUGGGUUAGACCAGGGGCGGUCCUCAGAUUUUGGGGGCCCGGGGCUGGAUUAAAAGCCGGGGCCCUUAAUAUAGACAUAAUAACAAUAACACUGAAUAUACGUACCGGUGAAAUAUAAACACUUAAAUACGUCUAAUACUAAUAUGCAUAUCAAAUGUUUUAAAAAUAUUACCUCAAACAAUAAUUCUGACAUACCUUGAUGCAAAGGCCAUUAUGAUGGCGUCGAUGUUAAUAGCGUCCAAUAAUUUCUUCUCGAUGACAUAAUGUCACCAGACCAUAUAAACACUCUUGGUUCAUCGGUGACCUCACAUAGUUCUUCAAUCAAUAUUUCCAACUUCAGAGAGCUUCUUCCGACCAAUACGAUAGUCACAGGCAUAGUAAAUAGGAUGCAAUAAGCAAUGGAAAUAUCAGGAUAACAGCCAACUUCUAUUGACAUGCUGCAAAUCUCCAUUGCAGAUAUUACAGUCAUAUGGCAGAAUGAAUCCCACAAUUUUUAAUUUAGAAGUAAGAUCAUACUCCCUCCGUUCCUAAAUAUAAGACCUUUUAAAGAUUGCACUAUAAACUAUAUAGGAUGUACAUAGACAUAUUUUAGAAUAUAGAUUCACUCAUUUUGCUCCGUAUGUAGUCUCCUAGUUGAAUCCCUAAAAGGUCUUAUAUUUUAAAACGGAGGGAGUAUAUCUCAACAUCAUGAUACACAAUGCUGACAAAUAACAUUAAUUGUUGAACAAUAUCGAUGUACCGGCGAUGCAUCUACAGAAGCACAAUAAGAAUAUAUGAUAUACGUACCUCGGAUGGCUGAAUCAGCCAUGACGGAAAAUCAAAGCCGGAUUAUAGGACGCCCCGACGAAUUGAAAUCGACGGCGCGCAGCUGAUGAUCUAAAUUAGGAAAGAAAUUAGGUUUGGGAGAAAAGUAGAAAGGAGGGUCGAGCACGCAGUGGCGAACAGACGAUGCGUCGGCGGCCGCUAGGAAUCGCUGCGUCAAUGCGAGAUGGAAUAGGAAGGGAUCAAUCACUCCUAUUUUUUCGUGAAAAAACGGAAGGAACGGUUGCUGCCUUUGUGCCUCGCUGGACUGCUGGGUGCAUGUUUGCCUGCAUGCUACGUGAGGCCCAGUCAACCAACCCGAUAGGUCAUUUUUUUCUGAUCUGUAAAAACAUUAAAUAUGUUUGGACAAAGCCUAUGUACAUACGUGGGGAGGGCCCCCUAAACUUUGGGGGCCGGGGCGGCCGCCCCCCCCUGCCCCUCCCCUCGGCCGGCCCUGCGGUUAGACUACCAACAAUGAAAGUAACAUAGGUGGUAACAUAGAUAUCAUCUAAACAACAAAUGUGAUGUGGCAACUAAUUAAAGAAAAGUAAGAGAAAUUGAAUAACUUAGCAUGUUACUCAUAUUAGGAGUAACAUAGCGGAUACCAAGGCAAGAUGGGUGUAUAGGCUAAUAAAUAAAAGACUCAAUGUUACUACCCCUAUGUUACUAUCCACUAUGGAGGUAGUAACUUAGAUUAGUAACAUAUGUAUGUUACUCCCCAUUGGUCUUUCAGCGGCGUUCAGAGACUCCUUCAUAUUAUUAGACAUAAUUAUGUCUAGAGACACAACACACGAGGCUAUACGUAAAUCACCCUUAGAAUACCAGCGAGCUCUCGUUUAACCUACGGACCCGAUGGGCCAUGUUAAGACUGGUAUGAAUACCAGCAAGCUCGCUGACAAGGAUCCGACGACUCCAUUACCCCUCGCAUCGCUUAGAGAAAAAACCCGAUACAAGUCACCCCCUUGACUUGAUCUGGAAUUAUCUGCGAGAUGCCAUCUAUGCUCUCAUCUAUCAACAAUUUCAACACAUGUUCUGCCGGAGUUUUGGUGCUUGGAAACCAUGAGCAAACCGCUUGUCACUUCUCCCGUGAGAGAGCGUCACCGGCACAGAACACCUCCAAUGGUUUCGUGAUUGCCGAUGGCGGCUGCAGGAUUGGGGGAGGUAGGCUGCUCGGGCUGCGGGGGAUGCGAAUUGAGAGAGAGAGAGAGAGAGAGAGGGAGGGAGAGGGAGAGGAAGAGAGAGAGAGAGAGAUUUCGUCCCCCUUUUUAGGACAAAUGACCCAACCAUCCACUAGCCGGUCCCACAUGUCAGCAUUUCAUGUCAGUCCCAUGCGUCCACGCGUCAACACCGGACGAAGUAACGGUCAACAGUUUUGACCCGACGGUGAGGCAUUGUUUGGCCUUUUGCGAGACGGAGGCGAGUAGAGGAGGGAGAAAAGUGAGUAAUGUUAGACGGACGAGGCAAACUGAGCACAACUAAGUAACGAUGGACGAGGCAACUUACGUAAAACCAGCUACAAUUAUAAUAGCUUUCGAUGUACACCCGUGUGAUCACCAGCCAUCUAACAACCUUUGCCGACAGUUGUCCUUCAUCCACAAAGACAACAUCAUCCAAAUAAUUCACUUGCAAUCCAGGUUUCUCUAUCAUCUCUUUGGACAUUGUGAUAUUUACUAAUUCCCGAUCCAGAGGUCUCAUACGCCAUGGCGAUGUCAUGACCAGUCUAGGAGAAGAAGCACCUCGUAAACUAGAGCGGAACAGAACCUGGGUUUUCUAGGCAUGGCCUCUCGAUAAGAAGUUGAGAAGAUUAUGGCUGAUACAUGGUGAGAUAGGAUGAGGUGUCUACGCUGCCAUACGACAAAACCCUAGUAACAGGGGAUGCUUUAUCUGUGUUAUUUUUUAAUUAAAUCACAUGAAUAAUUGGCCGUGUGUAUGUAAUUCUAUAUUAAUAUAAUAGGACACAAAGAGGCAGGUCCAUAUCAUCUCGGCCAACAAAUCUAAGAUUUGAUGGUUCAUGUUGAGCACCAAGAGACGAAAACCGCUCGCGUCGCCUCCAGGGGGCGACACGGGCGCCCUAGCCGCCGUCGCCCUCGACCUCCCUCCUCCCCCGCUUCCCCGCCGUUGCCGGAGGAGGCCGGCGAGCGAAGCUCGCCCGGCGGACGACGGACGGCGGGCCUUCCUCCCUUCUUCACGAGGGGGUCCUUUGGCUGAGAUGCGACGGCGCCCCUGGGGGUACAACAUGGAGGCGGAGUUGGCGUGCUCGGGCGGCGUGGGAUCCCGGCGGCGCUGCGGGGGCUGGCGGCGGCGGAUCUGGGGUUCCCCACCCCAGAUCGGUUCUCCUCCGGGUGGUCGGGCUCAGGCGCCGUCCAGCGGCCCUAAGCGGUGGUGGACGCGCGCGUUGACUGUCCUCCUUCACAGAUGUGAUUGGAAACGACAGGAGGUGUUGGCGUGCUGCUAGAUCUGAACAAGGUGAUGGCGUCAUCCCCUUCAUCAGGGAUGACGACCAGGUGGUGGGUUCUUGUGGCGUCGCCGGUGGCGGCGGAUCUUGGGAUCCAGUUCCCGGGGACGUCGUGGGAUGUGGUGGCCCGUGCAGGAGAGAUGGGUUCUUCGAACAGAUCUGGGUCAAAGCUUGCUUUCGGCUAUUGCUAAGGUCGGCGAUGGCGGCGCUGUCUACAUCGUUCCCUUCCUGAAGGCAUCGCCGAGGAGAACUUCAGGGCCACUCUCUGCUACCUCCUGGGGUAACCCUAGAUCAGUAGAUCGGAUGACGGCGACGCUCUGGUGUCAUUUCCCCCUUGGGGGCGUCAUUCAUGGUGGUACACACGGGCUCGAGGGACCAUUGGUCGGCAUUUACGAUGGAGCAGCGUUCCUAGUGACACAUCGACGUUGUGGAGUCUCGGCGGCGAGGCGCGGCAAAGUCUCGGCAAUGAAUGCAUGAUGAUGAGCACGCGUAGGGAGGAGGCGUUGUCUGGCGCCGUGGGGGCAUCGAUGGCAGGCCUUGCAAGGUCGAUGCGUCAGUAAUUUUUCUGAAGAUGGAUUGAUGGAAGGCGGCGACGACGACCUAUGAGGGUGCGUCGGACCGUUUGUGCCCCUGACCCGGUAUGUGGCUCUGUCGGGGCCUCCGGCUUUAGAUGUUAGGCUAGGUGAGAGGUCUGGGUAUGUGGCUCACACUUUCUGCACCCCCUUCAUCAUUGUAUAUGAGUAGCGACAGAUGUUGCCAAGAGGACGGCUUCAGACAUACGCUUAACACUCUAGCUAAUUGACCACCAGUAGCACGGGAGAGGUGUUUUGGCUCCCGGGUAUAUGCACUCGGAUGAACAGUACUGCGAAAAAAGUUCUAAUUUUUUUUGUAGAUGAUUGUAUUAGUGUCGCAAAUAUGCAUGACAAUUUUCGUGCGAUAAGGAGCAACGGUGUUUCAUCAGCAAAAAAGACAAAUUUAGGAUGACAUUUUGGGGUAACUUUUGGUGUUCAAUUUGUUUUUCUUGCACAAACCAAAAUGUUUUAUCUUUUUGUCUCAAAAUUUACAAGUAGUAUUUGGAUGUGACAAAGCAUACAAACAAAUUUUGUCUCAUUUUUUUCCAUUUCAAACUUUUUUUUGGCCCCGAAAGCAUAUGCCGGGAGCCGAAUUGCAUUUCCGCCGGUAGCACUAGUUACAUACACACUAGACUCCGCGCAAUCCCAUGAAAUCUGUUUGGCGAUUAACAUACGGCUAAAUAUCAACAUGCAAAUAUUAUCUUACCAAAUGUACCAAAUGUGUAACUAGUAUCUUAAUUCUACUCCCUUCAUAAACUAAUAUAAAAACAUUUAAAAACAAUGCUUUAGUAAUCUAAACGCUUUUAUUUAAUUUACAAAAGGAGUGCUACCUAAUAUCAACAUGCAUUGCACCAACUCCCUUCAAGGUCUAAUGCGUUUUUAGGGUUGCCCUUGACUAUUGAUAAGAUUAAUAAUAUAUGAGAUCUAUGAUAAAGAGUCUUUUCACAUCCGAAUUUGACAAUAUACCUGUAACAUGCAAGUUAUAUAUAUAUAAUUGCUCUAACCCGUGGCCAAAGGAAAUCUUGCAAAAUGUAUCGGAUGAAGGGAGAACAUGAUAAUACCAGUCUAACAAAUAUAUCCUCUCCAAUCGCAAACAUUUAUCCCCUUGGAUCACAACCAUGCAUACCCCUUUUGAGUACUCCCUCCGUCCCAAAAUUAAUGUCGAGCAUGUAGUUCAUUGGGAAUUUUGCAAAAAAAAACCUCGUAUUUACAAAAUCGUCUCAAACAAGCACCUCCACCCCUAUCUUCUUCGUCCGUCCUCGCCCGUGCAUCGCGAGAGGCCGCGCCGUCGAACUGGAAGGGCUCCGCCGCCGUCGCCGCCAAUUACCUCCUCCAUCACCACAACCCAGAUCUGCGCCACCGGAUCUCUUCCCGCUGCAGUUACCUGUCGGCGUCGUUCUCGAGCUCCUGCCGGCGUCGGAACCUUCCGCCACUUCGUCCUCUGGCUCCCAUGCGUCAUCCUCGAGCUCCCGUGCAUCCUCCCCAAGCUCACGCGCAUCCUCGCUGGAAUCUCUACUGCUCCUUCUCCCUUGCAGCCGGUGUGCCUGCUUAUCCCCUGUCACCGGAGGAGCUCCUCUGCACGUACUUGUUGGAAUUAUGCCCUANNNNNNNNNNNNNNNNNNNNNNNNNNNNNNNNNNNNNNNNNNNNNNNNNNNNNNNNNNNNNNNNNNNNNNNNNNNNNNNNNNNNNNNNNNNNNNNNNNNNNNNNNNNNNNNNNNNNNNNNNNNNNNNNNNNNNNNNNNNNNNNNNNNNNNNNNNNNNNNNNNNNNNNNNNNNNNNNNNNNNNNNNNNNNNNNNNNNNNNNNNNNNNNNNNNNNNNNNNNNNNNNNNNNNNNNNNNNNNNNNNNNNNNNNNNNNNNNNNNNNNNNNNNNNNNNNNNNNNNNNNNNNNNNNNNNNNNNNNNNNNNNNNNNNNNNNNNNNNNNNNNNNNNNNNNNNNNNNNNNNNNNNNNNNNNNNNNNNNNNNNNNNNNNNNNNNNNNNNNNNNNNNNNNNNNNNNNNNNNNNNNNNNNNNNNNNNNNNNNNNNNNNNNNNNNNNNNNNNNNNNNNNNNNNNNNNNNNNNNNNNNNNNNNNNNNNNNNNNNNNNNNNNNNNNNNNNNNNNNNNNNNNNNNNNNNNNNNNNNNNNNNNNNNNNNNNNNNNNNNNNNNNNNNNNNNNNNNNNNNNNNNNNNNNNNNNNNNNNNNNNNNNNNNNNNNNNNNNNNNNNNNNNNNNNNNNNNNNNNNNNNNNNNNNNNNNNNNNNNNNNNNNNNNNNNNNNNNNNNNNNNNNNNNNNNNNNNNNNNNNNNNNNNNNNNNNNNNNNNNNNNNNNNNNNNNNNNNNNNNNNNNNNNNNNNNNNNNNNNNNNNNNNNNNNNNNNNNNNNNNNNNNNNNNNNNNNNNNNNNNNNNNNNNNNNNNNNNNNNNNNNNNNNNNNNNNNNNNNNNNNNNNNNNNNNNNNNNNNNNNNNNNNNNNNNNNNNNNNNNNNNNNNNNNNNNNNNNNNNNNNNNNNNNNNNNNNNNNNNNNNNNNNNNNNNNNNNNNNNNNNNNNNNNNNNNNNNNNNNNNNNNNNNNNNNNNNNNNNNNNNNNNNNNNNNNNNNNNNNNNNNNNNNNNNNNNNNNNNNNNNNNNNNNNNNNNNNNNNNNNNNNNNNNNNNNNNNNNNNNNNNNNNNNNNNNNNNNNNNNNNNNNNNNNNNNNNNNNNNNNNNNNNNNNNNNNNNNNNNNNNNNNNNNNNNNNNNNNNNNNNNNNNNNNNNNNNNNNNNNNNNNNNNNNNNNNNNNNNNNNNNNNNNNNNNNNNNNNNNNNNNNNNNNNNNNNNNNNNNNNNNNNNNNNNNNNNNNNNNNNNNNNNNNNNNNNNNNUGUUGGAAUUAUGCCCUAGAGGCAAUAAUAAAUGUGGUUAUUAUUAUAAUUCCUGUAUCAAGAUAAUAGUUUAUUAUCCAUGCUAUAAUUGUAUUGAAUGAAGACUCAUUUACAUGUGUGGAUACAUAGACAAAACACCGUCCCUAGCAUGCCUCUAGUUGGCUAGCCAGUUGGUCAAUGAUAGUCAGUGUCUUCUGAUUAUGAACAAGGUGUUGUUGCUUGAUAACUGGAUCACGUCAUUGGGAGAAUCACGUGAUGGACUAGACCCAAACUAAUAGACGUAGCAUGUUGAUCGUGUCAUUUUGUUGCUACUAUUUUCUGCGUGUCAAGUAUUUAUUCCUAUGACCAUGAGAUCAUAUAACUCACUGACACCGGAGGAAUGCUUUGUGUGUAUCAAACGUCGCAACGUAACUGGGUGACUAUAAAGAUGCUCUACAGGUAUCUCCGAAGGUGUUAGUUGAGUUAGUAUGGAUCAAGACUGGGAUUUGUCACUCCGUGUGACGGAGAGGUAUCUCGGGGCCCACUCGGUAAUACAACAUCACACACAAGCCUUGCAAGCAAUGUAACUUAGUGUAAGUUGCGGGAUCUUGUAUUACGGAACGAGUAAAGAGACUUGCCGGUAAACGAGAUUGAAAUAGGUAUGCGGAUGCUGACGAUCGAAUCUCGGGCAAGUAACAUACCGAAGGACAAAGGGAAUGACAUACGGGAUUAUACGAAUCCUUGGCACUGAGGUUCAAACGAUAAGAUCUUCGUAGAAUAUGUAGGAUCCAAUAUGGGCAUCCAGGUCCCGCUAUUGGAUAUUGACCGAGGAGUCUCUCACGUCAUGUCUACAUAGUUCUCGAACCCGCAGGGUCUGCACACUUAAGGUUCGACGUUGUUUUAUGCAUAUUUGAGUUAUAUGGUUGGUUACCGAAUGUUGUUCGGAGUCUCGGAUGAGAUCACGGACGUCACGAGGGUUUCCGGAAUGGUCCGGAAACGAAGAUUGAUAUAUAGGAUGACCUCAUUUGAUUACCGGAAGGUUUUCGGAGUUACUGGGAAUGUACCGGGAAUGACGAAUGGGUUCCGGGAGUUCACCGGGGGGGGCAACCCACCCCGGGGAAGCCCAUAGGCGUUGGGGGAGGCACACCAGCCCUUAGUGGGCUGGUGGGACAGCCCACAAGUGCUCUAUGCGCCAAGAGAAGAAAAAUCAAGAGGAAAAGGGAAAAAAAAGGAGGAGGUGGGAAAGGAGGAGGACUCCCUCCCACCAAACCUAGUCCAACUCGGUUUGGGGGGGGGAGAGUCCUCCCCCUUGGCUCGGCCGACCCCCUUGAGGGUCCUUGGACCCCAAGGCAAGGCCCCCUCCCUCCCACCUAUAUAUACGGAGGUUUUAGGGCUGAUUUGAGACGACUUUUCCACGGCAGCCCGACCACAUACCUCCACGGUUUUUCCUCUAGAUCGCGUUUCUGCGGAGCUCGGGCGGAGCCCUACUGAGACAAGGUCAUCAUCAACCUCCGGAGCACCGUCACGCUGCCGGAGAACUCUUCUACCUCUCUGUCUCUCUUGCUGGAUCAAGAAGGCCGAGAUCAUCGUCGAGAUGUACGUGUGCUGAACGCGGAGGUGCCGUCCGUUCGGUACUAGAUCGUGGGACUGAUCGCGGGAUUGUUCGCGGGGCGGAUAGAGGGACGUGAGGACGUUCCAAUACAUCAACCGCGUUCUCUAACGCUUCUGUUGUACGGUCUACAAGGGUACGUAGAUCACUCAUCCCCUCUCGUAGAUGGACAUCACCAUGAUAGGUCUUCGUGCGCGUAGGAAAAUUUUUGUUUCCCAUGCGACGUUCCCCAUCAGUACUGCUGCUGGUCAUCUGCCUGAGUUGUUGCUGCUCCUCUGCUGGAGUUGAUGCUCCUCUGCUCGAUCUACUCUGCCGCUGGUGAAGCUCUGCCCGUGGUACUGCUAUUCCUCUGCCCAUUUGCACCUGAAGAAGGUACUGAUGAAACUGUUUGUUGUUUACUGCUACCUAAAACUGCUGUUGUUUGAGAAACUGCAUUGCUUGAGAAACUUGUAAUGUUGUGGUAUCGAAAAUAAUUUUGUGCAAUACUUGUAAUGUUGUGGUAUCAAAAAUAAUUUUGUGGAGUAUCAGAAACAGAGAAGCCUGGUUCAAGGUUUUGCACUGGAAACAGAGCAGUCUGGUUCAAGGUUGUGCACUGGAAACAGAGCAAUCUGGUUCAAGGUUUUGCCUAGAUAAACCAGACCGGAUGAGAGACCAAAUACAUGGGCAAGUAGUCAAAAGAAACACAUAAUUUGCCUAGAAUCUUGUUGUCCUGUGAUGCAAGAAAAUUUCACCAUGUGUAUGUUGUGGAACGCUUACAGUUGCACAAAUCAGACAUAUCAGUAGGUUGGUUCAGGUGUUGGUUCUUGGCCUAUUAACAUAGAAAGCCCCUUUGUAACUACUAGGACAAUCAGCUUGUGUAAAGAUCAUAUUUAGAGACGAAUUGCAAGCAUUAACCUGAUCUUAACAUAUAUAAAUGGAUAUUAAGUUUUCCAUUUUAGGCGAAUACAGAUAGAGGUUUCAACUAGACCUAGUGAGAAAUGGUUCCAUGGUAGCAUUUCUUGUUUGGCUGUCGUAGCUCGAUUACAUAUUGUUUUUACGUGCGUAUAUAUUCUUGUUACAGUACCAUGGUGUACUCAUCUUUUGUCAUUGAUAGCAGGAGUAUGGAUUUGAACAUGAUACCUCAAGAGGAGGAUGAAGGUAUUAAUUUGAAUUGGAUCCCUCAAGAGGAAGAGGCUCAAGGGGGAGAGGAUGGAGGUAUGGAUUUGAACAUGAUGCCUCAAGAGGAAAAGGAUGAUGGUAUUAAUUUGAAUUGGAUCCCUCAAGACGAAGAGGAUCCAGGGGGAGAGGAUGGAGGUAUGGAUUUGAACAUGAUGCCUCAAGAGGAAGAGGAUGAAGGUAUUAAUUUGAAUUGGAUCCCUCAAGAGGAAGAGGCUCAAGAGGAAGAGGAUGAAGUUAUGAAUUGGAUACUUCAAGAAGAAGAAGAAGGUCAAGAAGGUGUACCAGGUAAACAGAAAAGAAAAGAAUUGUCAAAUAAGGAGAGGCAUGCUGUUUACUUUGCUCUGCUAGUAAUCGAGCUCAGAGAUGGAUCUGUUCAACCAAACGACAAGCUGCUAGUAUCAAUCUUGUUGAACAUACAUGUACGAUCUAUUGAGAGAAUCUGGUCGGAGCCAAAAAGCAGAUUGCCGCGGGCCAAGAAGUAGAUGUCUCCAACAAGAAGAAAGGAAGAGUUGGUCGAAAGAGAAAAGAGCUGGAUCUUGCAAGGACCUCAACAAUCCCAUUGAAUAGAAGAAGGACAAUUCGAUCUCUGGCACGGUCUCUCGGUGUGACCCGCUCAACCCUACAUCGGAGGUUCCAGUUAAAUGAGCUCAACCGCAUCACAAACACAGUCAAGACUUACCUCAAACCAGAGAACAAGAUUGCAAGAUUGAAGUUUUGUAUGUCCAUGCUCGAUGACAAUUGGAUCUCAACUUCCCAAGCUAUAUUCAAGCCAAUGACUAAUAUGGUCCAUAUAGAUGAAAAGUGGUUUGACAUGACAAGACUAAAGAACAACUACUAUGUACUUCCAGGAGAGCCUCCACCUGAGCGCACCGUGACAAACAUUAACAUCAUUGGGAAGGUAAUGUUUCUAACGGUUGUGGCCAGAUCUCGAUACAAUUAUGAUGGAGAGCUAACAUUUGACGGGAAGAUUGGUAUUUGGGCAUUCAUCAAAGAGUCUGAGGCAGUGCGAACGAGUCACAAUAGAGCAAGGGGAACGACAGUGCUGAAACCAGUGAAAGUAACGAGACCUGUGUGUAGAGAAUAUCUGAUCAAUAAGGUUAUACCAGCAAUUCAAGAUAAAUGGCCUGACGAUGAUGAGGGAGCAACAAUAUUCAUCCAACAAGAUAAUGCAAAGCCUCGCGUUCUUCCCAACGAUGAAGCUUUUCGAGAAGCUGUGGAAGAAACUGAUCUCGACAUUAAGUUGAUGCAACAACCUCCAAACAGCCCAGAUUUGAACUGUUUGGACCUCUGCUUCCACAAUUCUCUCCAGUCUCUAACCGAUUGUAGGUCACCUACAAACAUCCAGGAACUGAUACAGGGUGUGGAAGAGGAGUUUGAGAAUUAUGAUCCUCACAAGUUGUACAACAGCUUCAUCACAUUGCAAGCAGUUAUGUUUGAAAUUAUGAAAGAUCAAGGAGGAAACCAAUAUAAGUUGCCCCACUUACACAAGGAACGUCUUCAGAAUGACGGCAGAGAAAUAACAAGUGUAUAUUGUGACAGUCAGCUAGUUGCUGAUACUAGGGCCAUUCUAGAAGAAAUGCAAUAGGAAAAGGAAAGGAAGAAAAGAAGUAGUUGUAGAAAGGAAAAAAAGAAUUGAACUUAUCUGAAUUGUACUCCUUGUGUACUCCUUGUACUCCUUGUGUAUGUCUUGUGCAAUAGGAAAAUGCAAUUGGAAUCAUUUGAGAUCAAUGAUGAUACUGGUUAUCCAACAUUUCCAUCUUGUGUAUCGGAAUUCAUUUUAAUUGUUUGGACUAAUUUGUUUGAGUUUAUCUUGAGUUUAUCCAGCAUUUCCAUCUGUAUUGGAGAUCAAUGAUCUUGUGUAUUGGAAGGGUCAUGUACAUGGGGAUGUUGCCUCAAGUUUUAUUAAAUUUAUUGUUUCAGGUUUCAGUAUACAAAGAUUACUGGGGUAUUGUCUAUAGUUUGGAUAAACCAAAUAAAGUUCACAAAUCUUUAUUCCCUUUGUGCAUAAAGUUUACAAAUCCCAAGCAUAGAGUUGGGAUCAACAAAAAAAUUCUAAGCUUACAAAUCGUGAGUGCUUUCAUCUCAAAAAAAUUCUAAGCUUACAAAUCCAGAACUGGUAGCCUUCCUUAUCUCAAUUCUCUGGUACUGAUUUUUGCUCUCUUUUUUUACCUUCCUUCAACAAGUUGUUCCUUGAACUGCAGGUACUCAGGGACAGUCAACUCCUCGUCGUCUGAAUUCUCAAGUACAGUAGUACUAGUAGCUUGGUUCAGGUUGAUUCUCAAUGAUGCCCUGCACUUGACACUAAAGCCUCCAGCCUGCAGAUAUACAAACGAAAUACAGAUACAUGCAUCAGUCUGAACCUGAAGAAGAAGGAAUGCAACCUGUGAAAUGUGUGAAAUGCUCCUACCAACAGACAAUGGAUGGUUUUUUUGUUUUGAUUGGUCUUGCUCUCGGUUUGAAGAUGAAGUGGUGUUAUUUCGCUUACCGUUGAUGUUCAAGUGUAGGCUUUUGCCUGCCCAGCACCUCUUAACCAUGUCAUCUCCUUGCAGUGCGUCUGGUUCAGGCCGAGCUCCGGGAAGCGGCUGCGCAUCAGCGGCAGCAGCGUGUCCGACGUCCCCAGGUACAUGGACUGGAAGUUGGCCUCCUGUUUCUACACGAGCACCCUGAUGAAGAGGUCUUCGGGGAGAGCUGGGGCGACUUGUUGCCAUCUGGUGAGGACGUCCACGGCGCCCUGGUCGACGGACUUCGUGACGCUGAACAUUGUCACUGUCGGGGGACGGGAACGUGCUUCACCUGCCACGAGAGCACGACGCCGAAGCUCUCGCCGACGCCGUUUCCGACGCAGCCGGAGAAGACGGCGGCGGUAGGUGGAGAAAUCAUUGCUUUUUAUGAGGAAGGGGGAAGCUUGGGGAGGCAGGCGAGUCGCAACUGCGGCGGCGGAGCGGCGGGGGACCGGGGGAGCAGGGGAGUUGCGGCAGGCGGAGCUGCAGCGGGCGAGCGGCAGCUGCGGCGGGGGAGUAGGGCAGCUGCGGCGGCGAGGAGCAGGCAAGCUGUAGCGAGCGUAGAUGGGGCAUCUGUCGGAGGAGGAGGACGAGGAGCGCGGGUUUGGUCGGGAGAAGCUGUAGGGGCUUUUCGCAAAAUUACCGUCGCGACAUUAAUUUCGGGACGGAGGGAGUAGCAUCUAAUCCUUCCAAAUAACACAGAACAUACGUGUUGCACGACCCAAAUGGGGCCCGGUCAAUGACAUCAAUCCCAUAUGUCACUCUCUGCUCCUACUACCUCGCUGUCCAUUACUUCAUGGUAAAUCUGGGGACGAGGAGGACAUGGUCGUCUGUCUGGCUCUUCACCUCCCUCGGGAGCAGUGCACUCGACCACGGUUGGACUCUAACCGGUGGAAAUCCAUGGUGUCCGUUCAAAUGUCGUUUGGAUGCGCAGGGAUGAUUGCUCGAGGCGUGCGGGCGCGGCCUCGACGGACACAGUGAUCGCCGUCCAAUUCUAGUAUGAUGAUGCAACCCCUUUGGUGGUGCCUCAUCCCUACGCCCUCGGGCUCGGAGUCGAAGAUCUGCACCGGCAUGAGUUACGGUCCAUCUUCUAACAUGGAGUGGCAUACCCGUCGUGCAAGGCAAAGGCCGCGUGGCGAGACGUAGAUGCUCUAACCACAUCUAGAUGGGAUCACAUCGAUUUAUGAUAUCCCGACUUCCCGAUCAACGAGUCUCCUCUGAUCAAAACCAUGUUACCCUAAUAUGCAUGUAAAAAAGUUAGGCUAAUAUGCGCGUAAAAAAGUUGAUUAACUGCUGCUAAAAUGGUGUGAUGUGAUAAGCCGGCCCUCCCCAACAAGAAAUAAUAACAACUGCCCCCCUAUCUCUCAUAUCCAAUUUAUAUAUGAGCCGGAUAUAGCGAGGACUGGAUGCGUCCGUCAGGUUGUAUCCGGCUCACGCUGGUUCAUCCCGACCCAUAUAUAUCCGUCUCUAUCUCCAACCUGGACGAAACCCUAGCUACUCCACCCCUCUUCUUAGCUCCGUUCCGAUGAUCUCCAGCCAUCUCCGACAUUACAGGCAGCGUCCGACACGGAGUUGGGAUCUCGCCCCAUGCGGGGAUGAGGAGGACAUGGCCGUCCGGCCGGCACUUCGCCGCCCCCGGAAGGAGUGCGCUCGACCACGGUUGGACUCUAUCCGGCAAAAACCCAUGGUGUCCGUUCAAAUCUCGCUUGGAUCCGCAGGGAUGAUGGCUCGAGGCGUCCGGGCGCGGCCUUGCCGGACGCGGUGACCACCAUAAUAUUCUAACUCCGGGAUGGCGAUGCAACCCCUCCGGUUGCGCAUCAUCCCUAACAUGGAGCGGCGUACGCCGUCGUGCGAGGCAUAGGACGCGGGGGCGAGGUGUAGAUGCUCUAACCGCAUCUGGAUGAGAUCACAUCGAUUGAUGAUGUCCGGAUAAACGAGUCUCCUCAGAUCAAAACCGUGUAAUAAUCCUACAAAAUAAAGACAUCGCCCAACGUGUUCCAGAACGCUCUGAAUGAGACCCCGCGAAUGGCAACAACCAUACCAUUUAUGAGCAAGUUUUGUCAGUCCCCCCACCCGGCCAGCCCGUGACAUCGAUGUAGCAGCUUCCGUUCCUAUUUAACCAGCGUACCAUUUGCACUACAUUGCAUCACAGCAAGCACACACACACACACACUCUCUAGAGAAAUGGCGAUGGCUAGGACGACGGCGCUCCUCCUCGUCGCCGCGGCUCUCCUGGCGGCCUCAUCCAGCGCAUGGGAGGUGAACAUCCAGAUGCCGGCGUCGGCGGCCGUGGACGAUGCUGUGGCACCGCUCAUCCACGCGCUGCGGCCGCUCCUGGGCUCCGGCAAGCAAGCCGGCGUGGCGUGCGAUAGCUGGCGGCUGGGCGUGGAGGCGCACAACGUGCGGGACUGGAAGACGGUGCCCGCCAGCUGCGAGGAUUACGUCGGCCACUACAUGGUCGGCGACCACUACCGCCGGGACUCCAAGGUCGUCAUCGACCAGGCCAUCGCCUACGUCGACUCCCUCAAGCUCGCCGGCAACGGCAAGGAGGUCUGGGUCUUCGACGUCGACGAGACCACCCUCUCCAACCUCCCCUACUACGCCAAGCACGGCUUCGGGUACGU